CACACACAACUAGUUAGGAAAAAUGCUUUCUUUUCUAGUGCCUCAGUUUUACUUUUUGUGAGGUUUUUCAUGUUAAUACCAACUGUAUUAUUAUGUUGAAUCUGUUUCUGUCUCUGAACCAUGUUUUCUGAUACGAUGAAUUGGAAGGUUGGCUUUCAAGACAACAAUAAAUCUGUUGUCUAACACAGUCUUCUCAGAGGAUUUCAUUCAGUCUGCUGAAAAAGCAGGGGAGAUGAAGGAGUUGGUGGCCAACAUCAUGAAAGAGGUUGGAAGGCCAAAUUUGGCUGAUUGUUUCCCAGUGUUGAAGGUGGUUGACCCUCAUGGCAUCAGAAGACGCACAGGAACCUACUUUUGGAAGCUUUUGAACAUCUUCAAGUGCUUGAUUAACAAAAGGUUGGAACAGAGAAAAGAUGAUGCUGGUUACUGCACCAAAAAUGACAUGUUGGAGGUCAUGCUCAACAAUGCUCCACAACACACUUCUCAAGAGAUGAACAUAGUUAAGAUUCAACGUUUGUCACUGGUAUUUCCCUUUUCUGCACUUUUUUUUUCUCUAAUUAAGCUUUCCUAAAUGUUCAAUCCAUGUUACUUUUUCAUCUGCAGAAGAAAAUAUUGAAUGAAUAUGCAUAUGUUUUAUCAUAAUAAAUAUAUGAAGACAACUUUUAUAUAUAUAUAUAGACAACUUUUUCAUCUGCAGUACUGUUGUAAUACUCUGCAAUCAUAUUUAAUGUUUUCUUUUUUAAUAAGUGAUGCAUUUAAUAAAAUAAAACAUAAAAUUUGAUUGAAAAAUCAUACCAAAGGUUUCCUUUUUGAGAAAAAAAUGAGACAUGUCUGUACUAUAGUUUUAUGAUAAAUACAAGAAAAAUAAUAAAAUAUUUUUAUUCGUAAAUUAGAAUUAACUUGUACACGUCCACAAGUUGAACAAAUUUAAAUUGAAUUUUUUAAUAAAUUAGUUUUUAUAUAAAUAAUAUUACAAAAAAAUUAUUAAAUAAAAACAAAUUUUAAAUACUAAAAUAAUUAGUUAUUAUUUGACUAAAUUAAAGAUCAUUUUAUAAAUUAAAAAAAAUUAUUGAUAUCUAAAGUAUUUUUUAUUAAUAAUAAAAGUUUAUAAAAUAAUUUUGAAAUUAAUAUAUAAUCUUUAACUACCAAGAUUUUUACUACUUACUACUUUAUAUUAUAAAUUAGUCUUUUUUAAUAUUUUAAAUAUCAAUUUAGAAUUUAAAAUAUUAAUAACUAAAAUUCAAUAACUAAUUUAAAUAUUAAUUUAGAAACUAUUUUAUAAAUUUUUAUUGAUAAUAGAAACAAAUUUAUAUAUUAAUAAUUUUUUAAUCUUUAAUUAAUAUCUAAAUUAGUUAAUAUAAUUACUAAUUAUUUUUAAUAUAAGUUUUAAAUUAAUCUGUCAAAUCAAUCAUUAUACAAAUCAUGCUUGGUGAUGAUUUUUCUGAUAUUUUUUAACCAAUGGUUUGCCUUACCUUCACAUGAACAUUGGAUUGGUAGUGAAAAUGACAUCAAGAAAAUGAAAUGAAAAACAAGGUGGACCCAAACUGCAUGUGAAAGUCAUAUAUGCUGACAAGUUUUGUAAUCCUAAAGGAUAUUAUGUUUUGUCAAUACAAAUGUAAAAGAUCUGAACAUUAUGGUGAUUGAGAACUGAUACAUUCAAUCACUCUACAAUUUCAUCUAUUUGUUUAGAAUUGUAGUUUUCUUUGUCAAUGAAAUGACAAAAAGUACUUUUUAUUAGUAUCAUGAAUAAACAGAUUAUAUACUAGCAGUUGUUAUUCACACAUCAUUAUCAAAUUAAAUACGUAUAAUGUGUUGUCAGGAUUUGUUUGCGGCAGGAACUGAUACAGUAACAACCACAGUAGAAUGGGGCAUGGCUGAGUUACUUCGCAACCCAAAUGUUAUGUCAAAGGCAAAAGAAGAGUUGGAGAAGUGUGUUGGAAAAGGUAAGAUUGUGGAAGAGUCACACAUACCCAAACUCCAUUAUUUGCAAGCAAUAGUGAAGGAGACUUUCAGACUGCACCCUGCAGUGCCACUUUUACUGCCUAGAGAAGCUGAAGAGGAAUUGGAGAUGCAUGGCCACACAAUUCCAAAGGGUGCACAAGUGUUGGUUAAUGUGUGGGCCAUAGGGAGGGACCCUAAUUUGUGGGACAAGCCUGCUUUGUUUUGGCCUGAGAGAUUCCUGGGAUCAGAAAUUGACUUUAGAGGAAGAAGUUUUGAGCUAACUCCUUUUGGGGGUGGGAGGAGAAUAUGCCCUGGAUUGUCUUUGGCCAUAAGGUUGGUGUUCUUGAUGUUGGGAUUGUUCAUCCAUUCCUUUCAUUGGGAGCUUGAGGGUGGGAUUCAACCACAGGAUAUCAACAUGGAUGAAAGUUUUGGACUAACCUUGGAGAAGGCUCAACCUUUGUUAGUUAUUCCAAUCACACCAAACUAAUAGUUAUCUGGUAUGCUAAAUUCUCAAAGUGUUAGAAUUGUCAGAAAUUUUAAAAAAAAAACAAUUGAACAUUUUAUCGAUAUGUAUUUUAUGAAUGUCGUACACGUAUUAGUGUCUGGUACGUAUGUUUGAUAUGGAUACUUCAUAUAAGAAACGUGUCCCAAACUUCAUAAUCUGAUAGUAGUAUGUUGACACACUCUCUCUCAACGCACUUUUAACUAUUCUCAAUAUACAAUUUUUAAAAUAAGUAUAUAAGUGUUAAAUAAAUGUUUUCCUUAAUUAUCUCUUCAAGAUUCUAAUAAUAGAAUUUUGUAUAAUUUAUUGGAUUUUGAAAUAUUAACACCUUCAACAGUGAAAACACACACUUUACACUAGGAUAAAUUAGUAUUUUAUUCAUUUUUAUUUUAUUUUUUAAUUUAAAAGUAUUAUUAUAUUAUUAUAAUUGUCAAAUGUAUAUUUUUUUAGGGUUCAUGGUGUGAAGAAAAUGAAUAAUAUUUCCUCUCAUGGUUAUUUGUAAAGUUAAUCGCAUCUUUUGGAACAUAAUAAUUGGAGAAAUUAUUAUGUGAUUUAAUUUUAAAUAAUACGGAGUUAAAUGUUACUAAUUUUAUUUCUAAAAACUAAAAAAAUUAAGUAGUUGUCUCAUAAAAAUUAUCAAAUCCAUAAAUUCAAACUCAUCUAGUAUUAGUAUAUGAUAAAAUUUUCAUACUUUAAUAUACUUAAGGAUCUAAAUUUUUUAGGUUACAGUCAUCUUGUGUCAAUAUAAGGUAACAAACAAACAAAAAAUAAAAUUUUUGCCAAUGCAAUUUAUAACUAAAACAGUAAACUUUAUUCAUUUAUAAUAAAUAACAUUUAUUUUUACAAAACUCUAAAUGAGAUUAUUUUUUAACCCAAACCUAAAUUUUCGUACCAAGGAAACAAUUUUUCAAUCUAGAAUUCACAAAUUGUUAAUUGUGUACAUAGAGAUCAAGAGUAAAACAGAGCAACUUGUGUACAUAGAGAAAAAUGUGUUAAAUAUAUAAGUAAUAACAGAUUACCCUUUUAAAUAUUUUCUCUAAAUUAAAUAAAAUAAUAAUAUUAAUAUGAUAUUUAAUAUAAUUUUUAAAAUCAAAAUAAGUUAUGAUAACGUAUAAAAAUAGAGAAUGGGUUAAAUGCAACAUUCAUAAUUCUAAAACUUACAUAUAUAUAUAUAUAUAUAUAUAAAUAUAGAGAUAAUUAUUAUCUGAAUUAUUUCUCUAAAUCAAACAUGUGAUAAUAAUAAGAAUUUAAAUAAUGUUUUUUUGUUUUUUUUUAAUAGUAUUUUUUUUUCAUGUGAUGACAGAUGAUUAUUGUUACUUGAGGUGAGGUGUCAGCCUAGUUGAGAUGUCAAGUUGCAUAAUGAUACCUAACAUGAAAAUUUUUAUAAAAAAAAAUCAUAUUUUUUGAGUGAUAAUAAUAAGAACUUAAAUCAUGUUUUUUUAAGUGAUAAUAAUAAGAAAGAUAAAAUUAAAAGAUAUCGCAAAUAUUUUUUAGGCUUAAUUAAAUUUUAAAUCGUUGAUAAAUUUAGAUAUUUUUAAUUGAGUUUCUAUUAAAUUUUAUUGGUUUAAUGAGUAUUAAAAAAUCUAUAUUUUUAAUUGAGUUUGCAUUGUUUAAUUUUUUUUUAACUGAGUGAUCUAAUAGGUAAUAAUCGUCUUAAAUAUUAUUGGACUCUAAUUCCUUACCCAACUUUGAAUUCAAAAUAAAGUGUUGAAAAGUUAUUUCUUUCAAAAUUAUUUUUAAUACUUUUUAAGUAUUUUAGUAACUCAAUAAUUGAUUAUGUUGGUUGAACUCUCUAAUAGAUAUGUUUUCUUAUUUCUAUUUUUAGUAAAAAAACAAAAAGUGAACCUUAUGGAAAAAAUUUAAGAUUGUUUUUUAUUCACUACAAGAAUUAUGAUAAUUAUUCAGUGCAAAUAUUUUUAACUAAAGCGUAAGCUAAACUCAUGCAAAAAGGUUUUAUUUUUUUUAUUCCAUAAGCGUUGAUUUAAACACUUUAAAAAUCAACAUACUAUUGUCUCAUUUUAAAGUCAACACUAACUUAUAUAACUUUUACCUUUUAAAAAUUAGUUUUUUAUCAACACAAUUUGAAUGUAAUAACGUCCCUUUUUGCUAACUUUUGAUCAAAUUUUGUUAGUUAUUAUGGUAAAAAAUUAAUUAUUUAAUUAUCAAUUUAUGAAUAAUAAUAAAAUAUGAAAUGUAAAUAUAUGUGAAUGUGUAAUUUUCGAGUAAAUAAAAAUAUUAAUUGUAGAUUAGUAUUUUACAAAAUUUUGUAUAUUAAUAUUUUUUAAGCCAUUAUAUAUGAUAUUGGAAUUUGUGGUCAUCGUUAUUGACCUAAUAUUUUAAUUUUCUUGGAAUUUGUGGUCAAUAUUGUAACACUCGAUUUUCUAUCCUAAUACAUAAACUUUUACCGUCACAAUAAUUAAAAAGUCCAUAAAUUUUUAAAACUUUUGAAAAAAUCAAAGCCAUUAUUUAAGUGGCUACUUCAUAAAAAAAAUAUAUAAAUAACCACUUAAAUGAUGAGUUUAAAAAAUAAAAAUUAUCAUUAAAAUGACUGUUAUAAAAAAAAUAAGUCAAUUAAAUAAUAUUUUUUUUUAAUGAAGUCAACUCACUAACGAUUUAUUCAAAUCCCUAACUUUUUUAAGAAAAUUACUCAUUUAAGAACUUACAUAAACAAAUUUUAUAAAAAGCUCACACAUUCAUGUUAGUUUUGAUCAAGUCAUUAAGUCUCUCUUUAGAUUUGCUCAUUAUAAAAGAAGAAAAUAUAUAAUUUUUUAAUAUAUAAAUACUUUUUUAUUUUAUUUUUAAAUUCUUAUUUAAUUUAAAAUUUGUUACCUUUAAUUUGUAUUUCUAAAAUUUAUUAAAAAAAUACUUUUUAAAUAUAAUAUCAAUUACAAAUUUUUCACUUUUUCACUCUUUUUCUUUCUUUUUUUCUUCUUUCCUUUUUCACACCCUUUUAAUCCAAACUUUUCAAUUUUCAUUUUUUCUUUUUUCUUUUCUUUUCCAUACCCUUUUGAGGGAGAGGAUAAAUCAAGAAAAGAAAAAUUAUCAAGUCGAUUUAGUGAAAAAAAAAACAAAAACACAAACGAAUUAAAUAAAGUAAACACAUUAGAAGAAGGCUUUAAACCAAUUUUAUGGUCCCUACCUACACCAUAUUUAAUAAGUACAGUGAUAAACAUGCAUGCUUUUGUACACACCAUAAUUAAACAAUUAAUAUUUGAUUAUAAUUAACAAGAAUUGAACUAGGAGUUUGAGUUAGGAAGUAAUAGAAAUGAAUAACCAUGUUCUUACCUUCUUUCCAUAAGUUUAAGAAUGUUAAUCAAGUGGAUAUGCUCAAUAGGAAAUGUAAAGUUACUUUUUUUUUGUAUUUAAGAAUUAUUAUUCUGAUACCAAAAUAUUCAUCAGGCUCACAUGAUCAAAAUCAUUUAGAAAGAUUUUUUUUUAUUGUGUGGGUAGAUUUUUGUUUUUAAUAUGCUAAAUGGUUACUGUAACAUUUAUUGGACACAUAAUGGUUCUGAUAUAUGUCUUUAAGACAUAAAUUUGCCAAUUCAGUGUAUGGUCAAAAGUUUGAGACUUCUCAAUGAUCAUCAUUUUUUCUUCUUAAACUUGUUUUUUGGUCUUAAUCCUAGGACACUUUGCCCUUAUGUUUUCUGAUCUUCUGUAUUAUGGCAAAUUAACUUUAAAUUGUCUUUAUCCUUUUUCUUUUUUUUUUUAAGUUAACCUUCUUCUUUUUUUGAAUUUUUUUUAUUGCAUUGACUCUUGCAUCUAAGCAUGUGCUUGUUCUGGACAUCAUUCUCCUUGUCUAGAGCUUUUAAAGCCCCAAUUUUUCUUGUAUCUUAUUCGAGUCUACUUUGAAGUAAAUUUGACCGGUAAAUUAAGACCUCAUUUUAAUCACGAUUUCGAGGAUAUAUUCUAUGCAUUUUUUAGAUUCACAAGAGCUCACAUGGGGUAUUGAUUUAUGCCUUUAAAAAACUUUUAAAAGAACCUAAAUUCUUCCAAACAUGUUGGAGAUAAUCUCACUAUUUUUCAUGGUGAAUGACUCAUACUAUCGCGUGAGGGUGAUAACUCUCAACUGAACAUCCUCGUUUUCUUCAUAGUUGAUAUUGGGAGAAUCCCAUACCUCUAGUCAUUUUUAUAUAAAAGUUUUCAUAUUAAGUAUCACUAUGCAACUUGAUAUCUCAGUUAGGUUGACACCUCAAGUAACAACAAUCAUCUGUCAUCACAUGAAAAAAUAUUGUUAAAAAAAUACAAAAAUAUGGGGGAACUAAACCAAAAAUAUAUGUUAACAAAAACGAUACAUAAAUAGACUAUACUUAUUCAUAAAGAAUUCUAAGAAACAGAAUAGAUGGAAGCCUAUUAUAUCACUGAAAUGAUUAUCUAUGAAUAAAUCAUAAAUUAGUCAACUUAUUAGCACACGUAUUCCCUUCAUGAAAUAAGUAACCCUAAAUCUGAUUUUCCCACAGUAAUUAAAACAAGUAUUACCUCUUUACCUAUUUUUAAAACUUUUUUAUAUUAUCUUUUCAUAAAACACAAAUAAAUGUGCACCUAACUUCAAUGUUUAAAUGCAUGUAGUUAAAGCUUUCUUACGUCUCUUCUGAAACAUUAAUCUUUAUCACUAUAAAAAAAUCAUGAAAUAGAAACAAAUUUUAGAGAUAAAAAAUAAUUAGUUGUUAUAGUGACUAAAUUAGAGACUAUUUUAAGGAUUAAAUAAAUAUUUGGUUUCUAAAUUAGUUUAUAUUAUUGUUAAAUGAUUUCUACUAAAAAAACGCGAUUUAUAUACAGAUUAUUACAUAGGAUCAAAAUCCGUAUGUAAAAUCAACAUUACAUACGGAUUAAAAUCUGUAUGUAAAAUCAACAUUACAUACGAAUUUUAUUCCGUAUGUAAAUAGAUAUUACAUACAAAUUUAGUUUCUAAAAUAAUAUUUAAUUUAGUUACUAUUGUAACUAAUUAUUUUAGUUUUUAAAAAUUAUUUAUAUUUAAUGAUUUUCUUGUAAUGUAUUCCUACUACAUAAAUUUGAUAUGCAUCUCCAUCUAUUUUUCAAAUAAGAGAAUCUUCCCUUAGAAAUGUGAAUGGCCAGGGAUAUCCCUCCACGGAUAAGGAUAAGAUGUCAAUGUUAGGACCUUAUCUGUAGUGCAAUACACACAAUUUUGGUUAAUUUAAACAUCCUUAUAUUCCCUCUUUUUUUCUUUCCUUUUUUAUUAACUGUUGUUUCCUGGUCCAAAACACCCUAAAAUAUAUUUUGUAUUAUAAUAAUAAAUUUACAACUCAUAUUUAUUAUAAUAUUAUUUUAAUAUUUUUUUAUAUCAUUUAAUUUUAAAUUUAUUAUUUAUCAUAUAUAUUUAUUUCUAAACUCUUUACAUAAUAAUNNNNNNNNNNNNNNNNNNNNNNNNNNNNNNNNNNNNNNNNNNNNNNNNNNNNNNNNNNNNNNNNNNNNNNNNNNNNNNNNNNNNNNNNNNNNNNNNNNNNCCAAAUUUGGCUGAUUGUUUCCCAGUGUUGAAGGUGGUUGACCCUCAUGGCAUCAGAAGACGCACAGGAACCUACUUUUGGAAGCUUUUGAACAUCUUCAAGUGCUUGAUUCACAAAAGGUUGGAACUGAGAAAAGAUGAUGCUGGUUACUGCACCAAAAAUGACAUGUUGGAGGUCAUGCUCAACAAUGCUCCACAACAUACUUCUCAAGAGAUGAACAUAGUCAAGAUUCAACGUUUGUCACUGGUAUUUCCCUUUUCUGCACUUUUUUUUCUCUAAUUAAGCUUUCCUAUAUGUUCAAUAAGAUUAAUGUGUGUGAUUUAAUUUUAGAUAAUGGUUGUCAAAAUAUCGUAACUUUAAAAAUUCUUAUUUUUUCUUAUCCUAUUCUUCCAUGUUACUUUAAAAAAAAUAUUAAAUGAAAUCCUAAAACACAUAUCUCACAUUUCAAUAAAUUAAUAUUUUAUUUAUUUUUAUUUUUAUUUUAUUUUAUUAUUGUAAAUUUAUGUUUUUAAUGGAAAUGGUAUUAAAGAAAAUAAAAAACAUGAUGGACCCAAACUGCAGUUUGGUACGACUUCAGGUUGAUAUGGUAGAAGUCGUGUCAAGUUGACACAACUUCAGAUUGAUGUGGUAAAGUCGUACCAACUUGACACGACUUCUACAUAUGAAGUUGUGCCAAGUUGAUAUGACUUCUCCCAAAUUUAUAAUUUUUUUUUACAACGACUCUAUUUUGGUAAAAAAAAAAAGUUCCAUAAUGAUAAAAAAUCCAUAUAUAAUGACAUCAAAACGUGUGUUUUGUGUUUGUCAGGACUUGUUUGCGGCAGGAACUGAUACCGUAACAACCACAGUAGAAUGGGGCAUGGCUGAGUUACUUCGCAACCCAAAUGUUAUGUCAAAGGCAAAAGAAGAGUUGGAGAAGUGUGUUGGAAAAGGUAAGAUUGUGGAAGAGUCACACAUACCCAAACUCCCUUAUUUGCAAGCAAUAUUGAAGGAGACUUUCAGGCUGCACCCUCCAGCACCACUUUUACUGCCUAGAGAAGCUGAAGAGGAAUUGGAGAUGCAUGGCCACACAAUUCCAAAGGGUGCACAAGUGUUGGUUAAUGUGUGGGCCAUAGGGAGGGACCCUAAUUUGUGGGACAAGCCUGCUUUGUUUUGGCCUGAGAGAUUCCUGGGGUCAGAAAUUGACUUUAGAGGAAGAAGUUUUGAGCUAACUCCUUUUGGGGGUGGGAGGAGAAUAUGCCCUGGAUUGUCUUUGGCCAUAAGGUUGGUGUUCUUGAUGUUGGGAUUGUUCAUCCAUUCCUUUCAUUGGGAGCUUGAGGGUGGGAUUCAACCACAGGAUAUCAAUAUGGAUGAAAGUUUUGGACUAACCUUGGAGAAGGCUCAACCUUUGUUAGUUAUUCCAAUCAUACCAAACCACUAAGUAUCUGGUAUGCUAAAUUCUCAAAGGGUUAGAAUUGUUAGAAAUUAAAAAAAUAAUAAUAAUUGAACAUUUAAUCGAUAUGUAUUUUAUGAAUGUCGUACACGUAUUAGUGUCUAGUACGUGUGUUUGAUAUGGAUACUUCAUAUAAGAAACGUGUCCCAAACUUCAUAAUCUGAUAGUAAUAUGUAACUAUGUUGACACAUUCUCUCUCUUAACACAUUUUUAAGCAUUUUCAAUAUACAAUUUUUAAAAUAAGUAUAUAAGUAUUAAAUAAAUGUUUUCCUUAAUUAUCUCUUCAAGAUUCCAAUAAUAGAAUCUUGUAUAAUUUAUUGGAUUUGAUAUAUUAACACCUCUGCGAAUAAUAGAAUCUUGUAUAAUUUAUUGGAUUUUGAUAUAUUAAUACCUCUGUGGUGAAAACACAACUUUACACCAUGAUAAAUUAAUAUUUUAUUUUUUAAUUUAAAAGUAUUAUUAUAUUAUUAUAAAUGUCAAAUGUAUAUUUUUUAGCGUUCAUGUUGUGAAGAAAAUGAAUAAUGGUUGUUCUCAUGGGUUAUUUGUGAAGUUAAUCGCAUCGAAGCAUAAUAAUUGGAAAAAUUAUUAUGUGAUUUAAAUAUAAUCUUGAUUAAUUUUUUCAUUAUACGGAGUUAAAUGUUACUAAUUUUAUUUCCAAAAACUAUAAAAAAAAAUUAGGUAGGUGUCUCAUAAAAAUUAUCAAAUCCAUAAAUUCAAAAUCUUAUUAGUAUAUGAUAAAUUUUCCAUACUUUAAUAUACUUGGGAUCUAAACUUUUUAGGUUAGAGUGAUCUUUGUGUCAAUAUAAGUAACAAACAAAAAAUAAAAAUUUUGCCAAUGCAAUUUAUAACUAAAACAGUAAACUUGAUUCAUUUUCAAUCUAGAAUUCACAAAUUGUUAAUUGUGUACAUAGAGAAAAAUGAAAAAAAUGUGUUAAAUAUAUAAGUAAUAACAGAUUACCAUUUUAAAUAUUUUCUCUAAAUUAAAUAAAUAAUAAUAAUAUUAAUAUGAUAUUUAAUAUAAUUUUAAAAAUUAAAAUAAGUUAUGAUAACGUAUAAAAAUAGAGAAUGGGUUAAAUGCAACAUUCAUAAUUCUAAAACUUAUAUAUAAAUAUAGAAAUAAAUUAUUAUCUAAAUUAUUUCUGUAAAUCAAACAUGUUUUUUUAUGCGAUAAUAAUAAGAAUAAUAAAGUUAAAAGAUAUCACAAAUAUUUUGUAGGCUUAAUUAAAUUUUAAACUGUUGAUAAAUUUAGAUAUUUUUAAUUGAGUUUCUAUUAAAUUUUAUUGGUUUAAUGAGUAUUAAAAAAUUAUAUAUUUUUUAAUUGAGUUUGUAUGGUUUAAUUUUUUUGUUAAUUGAGUAAUCUAAUCUUAUUUUUGUCCUGUCAUCUUGUUUAAUUAUUUUUACAUAUUUGUGUUAAUAUUAAAUGAUGUAGUUUUGUAAUUAACAUAACAAGUGACUUUGUUGGUUAAAGAUAAACGAAAAUGAAAAUGAAAGCAACAUGAAAACCUAAAUACAAUAUUGGAAGACGUUAGAACAAACAUGAAGUUAAACAACAUGAUUAUAACAAUAGAAUAAGGGUUAUGGUCAAACGUAAACAAGUUGAUUUUAAAUUUUGAAUCCUUCACAUGCAAAAAUAAAUAUAAAAUCCAAAAUUUUAUAACUUAAAUAUUAUACGAAAUCGAAAAAUACAUAAGAAGAAUAAAAGAACGUUUAUAAAAAUAAAAAUACAUAUAAUAUUAAAUUUUCUUUUAUAAUAAUUAUAUCUUUUAUAAUAAUAAAUUUAGUCAUAAAAUAUAUAAUAAGUAUGAGGGUAAAAAAUAAUAAUUAACAAAAUUAAAGGUAAUAAUUGUCUGGGUUCUAAUUCCUUACCCAAUUUUGUAUUCGUGUUGUAAAGUUAUUUAUUUUUAAUAGUAUUUUUAAUACUUUUAAAAAUAUUUUAGUAACUCAAUAAUUGAUUAGGUUGAACUCUCUAAAUUUUUUAGUAGGAAACAAAAAGUGAACCUUAUGAAAAAAAAUAUAAGAUUUUUUUUUUCACAUAAUAAUUAACUAUCGCAAAAUAGCUUCAUCCUACUUUAAUAUAAUAUGUUAAUAGAGUGGGUCACGCCUACAAAGCUUAACAUGAUACUAAAAAUUGAAAAAUAAAACAUAAAUAUAAUGAAUAAGUUUUAAAGUGACACAAAAAAGUAAACAUUGAAGUAAGAUUAACAUUAAUUAACAUAAAGAUAGUGUUGACGUAGUUCACACAAAGAUUAAUUUAUAGAAAAAAAUGAUUAAAAUGAAAAAUUAGAUAGGAAUUUAAAACUAAGAUUUAGAUUUAGAUUUAUAUUAGAUUAUGAUUUAUGAUUACCAUUACAAUGAUAUAUUGAAUUUGGAUUUUUGAAUUCAAUUCAAAAUAUAUAAUGAAUUUUGAUUUUUGAUUGAUAUAGAUAGUCACUUUAAAUAAAUUUUUAAACUAAGUUUUUGUUUUCUUAUUUAACAUGGGUCAAACCCUAUCUUCUAUCUGUGGAGUAAACCCUCUAAAAAAAUACAUUUUUUUGACAAGAUUUUAUUUAUUUAUUUUAUUUAUUUAAAAAACGUUGACUUAAUCCAUUAUAAAAUCGACACUAUUAUUAUCUCUUUGACACUAAAUUAUAUAACUUUCACUUUAAAAAUUAACUUUAAAUUGACACAAUUUGAACGUAAUAACACCUUAGCUUCCGUCUUUUUGCUCAACAUGGUAAAAAUUUAAUUAUUUAAUUAUUUAAUUAUCAAUUUAUGAAUAAUAAUAAAAUAUGAAAUGUAAAUAUCUGUGAAUGUGUAAUUUUCGAGUAAAUAAAAAUGUUAAUUGUAGAUUAGUAUUUUACAAAAUUUUGUGUACCAAUAUAUGAUAUUGGAAUUUGGAAUUUGUAGUCAUCGUUAUUGACCUAAUAUUUUAAUGUUCUUGGAAUUUGUGGUCAACGUUUUGAUCUAACGUUUUAGGUAAUUUCUUCCUCCACCAUAUCAAUUUCAGCAUGCACCCAAUCAACUCUAAAAAUGACAAAAAUACUCAUUUUAAAUGACGAAAAUAACCUUACACAAAAAUGGAAAAAUUAUUUUUGAAAUUUUUAUCUGAAAUAUUUUGGAUUUCAAUUUUCCAAACAUAUUUUUGAAUUUUGAAAUUUUUUAUCUAGAAUGUAUUUUUAGUUUUGUGUUCAGAAUUUUUUUCCAGCAUGUAUUUUUUUAUUUCUCAAUUAUAAUUAUUAUUUUAGAUUUUUUAAUUUGGAAUAAGGGUAGUUUUGGAAAUUUAAAAAAUUGAUUUGGUGGAGGUUAAAAAAUUGAUAUGGUGCAGGAGGAUAGUUUUGGAAAUUUAAAAAAUUGAUAUGGUGGAGGUUAAAAUUGAUAUGGUGGAGAAAGAAUUUGCCAACGUUUUAAUGCUGUAACGCUCCAUUUUCUAUCCUACUAAUUGGAAACUAUAAAACUUUAUAAUACAUAAACUUUUAGCCUCACAAUAAUUAAAAAGUCCAUAAAUUUUUAAAAUAUAUAUAUAUAUAUAUAUAUAUAUAUAAAGUAUACUCUUAUAUCAAAUAAGAUCAUGGCAACAAGCACAUAUAUAAAAAUAAGUAUAUAGGCAAAAUAAAAAUAUAUUUUUUUAUUAUCAUCAAUUAUAUGUAAUCAAACAUUAUGUCAUUAUUAGAAGUGAAACCUUCUUCAAAAUAAUCUAAAACUAUAUGAUAAACAAAUGUCACAUAAUUACACCAUCUAUCUAUUAAGGGAGUUAUGUGCCUUACAAACUCAUGCAAUUUUAUCAUUAAUCUUUAGAAUUCAUUUAAGUUAAAACAUAAAUACCAAGACACUAAGUAGCUUUUAUCAUUUAUGUAACAUAUAUAAUUAAGUAAUUAUGAAAUAAUUAUUAUUAAUAUUUUUUUAGAGUUUGUUUGAGUUGAAACAUAGAGUCAAAUAUAAAAAAUCAAAAUACUGGUCAAUUUUUUACAAUUUUAUGUAAUAUACAUAAUAAAGUAUUCAUAACUAUAAUAAAAUUAUUAAAUAAAUUUUUUUAUAGAUAAAAAAUAAUUAAUUAUUAUAUUGACUAAAUUAGAUAGUAUUUUAAAGACAACAAAAUUAUUGUAUCUAAAAUAAUUUUUAUUAUAAAUAAAUAUUUUUUAAAUUGGUAUUUAAUUAACUAACCAAUAGCUUAAACAUUGAUAACUAAUUAUAUUCAUUUAUAAAAUAUUUAUUAAUAAUAAAAAUUAUUUAAAUACUGAUAAUUAUUUUAAUUUUAAAAUAAUAUUUAAUUUAUUUAAAAUAAUGACUAAUUAUUAUUAUUUUAUCUAAAAUUAAUUUUUAUUUAAUGUUUUAUUUAAUGUAAAAUGAUUAUUCUAUUAUUAAUCAUUAAGUUAAAACAUAAAAAAGUAGAGCAUAGAAAGUCAAAGCACUAGUCAGUUUUUACAAUUUAUGUAAUAUAUACCUUAUAAAGUUAUCAUGGAAUUGAUUAUUAUAUCAUUAAUAUCCUUAAUUAUAAUUAUAAUUGAUUUGAGUUGAAACAUCCAAAAGUAUAAAGAUAAUUUAUUUAAAAAAUAUCACAAAUAUAAAAAUUUAAUAAAUAUUUUCCUCAUAUAAGAUAUCUCAUUAUGUUUAAUUUGCGUAAAGUUAGUCAAAAGACUAAUGUUCACACAACUACAAAUUUGAACAUUUUAAUAAUUAGGUGUUGAAAUAAGGCUUAUUUUUGGACAAGUUUUCUUAAGCUCUUCUUUUUAAAAGGAAAAUUAAAAUUAGUUUAUUCAGCUUAUACAUAAAUUAAUUUAUAGAACUUAUAUAUUCUUUUAUAUUUUUACUUUUAUUGUUACACAAACUAAUUUUAACUUAUGAUUUUUUCUAAAAAAAUGUAUCCUCUAAAUAAUUCUAAAAAAGUAGACCACAUAUCACUACAAGAAAAUCAUGAAAUAAAAACCAAUUUUUAGAGACCAAAAUAAUUAGUUACAAUAAGAACUAAAAUAGAGAUCAUUUUAAAAACUAAAAAAAAAAUGGUUUCUAAAUUAGUUUAUAUUAUUUUCUAUUAUUGUCAAAUAGUUUCUAAAUUGGUAUCUAAUUAACCACUAAGGUUUUAACUACCAAUUAUUUAGUUUCUAAAUUUGGUAGAAAAACCUUGGUUGCUAAUUAGAUACCAAUUUAGAAAUUAUUUAACAAUAAUAAAAACUAAUUUAGAAACCAAUUUUUUUUUAGUUUCUAAAAUGGUCUCUAAUUUAAUUACUAUUGCAACUAAUUAUUUUGGUUUGUACAAAUCUUGUAGUAUAUACUCUUCUUAAUCACAAAACUAAAAAAAUAAAAUUAUAUUUGAAUAUUCUUAAACAUUUUUUAAUUACAACAAAAAUUAAUUCUAAAUAAAAAAAAUCAAUUACCAUAUAUACUAUCUUACAAACUAGAUUAUAAUCUAAAAUAAUUAAUAUUUAAAUUCAGAUAGUUAAAUAGAUACUAAUUUAAAAACUAGUUUAUACUAAUGAUUCAAACUACUUUAUAUAUUCAUAAUUUUUUUACUUUACAAAAUAAUAUCUAAUUUAGUCAAUAUAAUAAAUAAUAAUAAUUUGUUUCUUACUUUACAAAAUAAUAUAUAAUCUAAUCAAUAUAAUAAAUAAUAAUGAUUUGAUUAUUUUUUAUAUAAAUAUCUAUAUAAAAAAGUGUUUUAUAUCUUAGUCCAAUCUUAAAUUACUAUAAAAAAACAGACAAAAAUUAGUAUGCAUGCUAAUUUGUAAUUAGGUUUUAAAAUAUUUAUUGUGGAAUAUUAAAAAGUAUUUGUGAAGUGAUUGUGCUAUAAAUAGAGCACACCAUGGUUUCUCUUUACAAAGCAAUAACAUUGUGAAAGAAACACCUAAAUUGGUUUCUCUCUUGCUACAUGAAAUCAAUAGCAGUGAUGAUGAGUCUAAGCAGAGUCUUCAUUUUCAUGGUUCUCCUUUUCUGUUCUUUCCAAGUUCAUCAUGCAACCUCUUCUUCUUCUUCUUCUUCUUCUGGUGGUGAUUACAAACAAGCACUGACAAAUUCUUUGCUGUAUUUUGAGGGGCAACGUUCAGGGAAGUUGCCCUCCAACCAGAGAGUGAACUGGAGAGGAGAUUCAGCACUUCAAGAUGGUGAAGAUGCUGGAGUAAUAUUUCUAAUCUCAUUUCACAUUUUCCUUUUUUUUCAUUUUGAUUUAGAGUUUUUGCAUAUUACUAUGUUUUUUAAGAAGAAAAUAUAUAGUCAAACUCUUAUAAAAAAAAAUCAAAACUACCAGAUAUUACCAAACCUUCCAAAUUACUAUAUAAAAGACUGAAUUUAAGUGCAUAAUAAUACCAUUUAAUCUCUCCAAUUAAUAUGUAAGUUUCAUAUCCUUUUAGAUGCAUACAUACAUAUAUAUAUAUAUAUAUAUAUAUAUAUGAUUGAAAGGAGAUUUUUUACUAAAGUUAUUAAUUGCAAUAUUUUUAGAAAGAUUUAUAACCAUUUUAAAAAUUAGUGGGGCAUGUAUAUUAAUAAUAUGCUUCUUUACUUUUAGUUUAUGUUGAAAAUAUAGUGAAUUGUUUGAGAUUAUAAUUGUUAAAAGUAGGAAAAAUAAUAUUUAUAAUUGACAACCAUUUGUAUUUUUUUUAUUGAGAUUGAAUAAUUUUGAAAUUGUAUUGAUCAAAUCAUAAUUAUAAACUGGGGUCUUUCAAUCGGUUUUUCACAUUAACAUUUUCCUUAAUUUUUCAUUGUAAUGUGAGUUUGUGCGAGAAAAUGAUUUUUUUUUGAAAGGUUGUAAAUGGGUGAUUUUGACUCUAAAAUUUUUAAAAUAAUAUUUUUAUUUUUAUGUGAGUCAUUAUCUAAAAAAAAUUGAAUGAUUAAGUUUAGAAGAACCACUUUUUUUAAUCACUUAUGGAUUUUUAAUUUGAAAUUUUAUUGGUUUUAUAAAUAUCAUUCAUUAAAUUAGAAAAAAAAAUUAUUUGUUGAUUGAUAUACUAAUUAUUUUUGAACAUUUUUAAAUUAUAUUAUCCUAAACGUUAAUGUUAACGAAUUCUUAGAAAAACAAGGAAAAAAAAAUCAGUGUGUAAAACCCCAUUCAACGUGACGGUUUUGUAAGUUAUCAUUAACUUUAAAAUAUUUUUUAGCUAAUCCAAAAGAUUAAUUAUUGUUAUUUUUCACAAGUUUUAAUGUUAUACCUUAAUUUUGUAUAUGUCAGUUUUUCUUUUCUUUUAAAACUUUACUCAUUAAUUAUCAGUUUGUUCCUAAAUUUCAUACAUAUCAUAGUUAUAGGUUGACUCAAAAUGAAAACAUAAGUUAAACGCAUACGAAAUAGUGCAAACUUUUGUAACAGAGAAAAAUAAUUUCCUAAAUUAAAUAUCUCAUUACUAUUUUAUUUAAUUUUUUUAAUCAGCAAAACUAUUUUAUUUAAUAACAAAUCUCUAUGAUAUCAAAUCAAUGUUUCAACUAUUUUAUUUAAUAACAACUCUAUGUGGAUGCUAUCAAAUUAUUGUUUAUUUGGUGGUUCAUCAACUCAUAAUUGUUUGAUCCCAUAAAAUGAUUAUGAUAAAAAAAAAAUUAGUGUUAGUUCUAUAUUAAUUUCUAUUAUUGAUAAAUAAUUUUUAAAUUAGUAUUUAAUUAGUGAAAAUAUAUCUAAAUUAAAUAGUAUAUAAUUUAAUCAAUAUACCAACUAAUUAUUAUUAUUUUUUUCUAGAAUUGAGUUGUAUUUGAUGAUUUUCAACAAUUUAUUAAAAGAAAAACCUUUUUUACUCAAAUAUUAACUAAUUUUUUCUGGCAGAUUGAUCUUGUUGGUGGAUACUAUGAUGCUGGAGAUAACCUGAAACUAGGGUUUCCACUAGCAUUCACCUUAACCAUGCUUUCAUGGAGCACAAUAGAGUUCAAUGACCAACUUUCCAAGCAGAAUGAACUCCAAAACGCACUCAGGGCCAUCAAAUGGGGAACAGAUUAUUUGAUCAAAGCACACGCCAGUCCGGAUGUGUUAUACGGCGAGAUCGGAGAUCCAGAUUCUGAUCAUUCAUGCUGGCAGAGACCAGAAGAUAUGACAACUUCUCGUACCUCUUACAAACUCGAUGAUCAGCAUCCGGGUUCCGAUCUCGCCGCUGAAACAGCAGCUGCCCUUGCCGCUGCCUCCAUAGCGUUUCAGUCCACGAAUACAAAAUAUUCUUCCACCAUGUUACUUCAUGCAACACAGGUAAGGAUAUAUAUCAAACAUUAAAAUACUUUCAUUACAUGGUUACAUGGUUACCUAACACACAAUAUAUUAUUUAUUAUGGUGUGAGAUUGCUAAUUUUUAAGACACUAAUUAACAAAACUAUUUCUUCAAAAACAGAAAAAAAAAUCCUAAGUUAAAUAUUCUAUGAAUAAAGUUUCUUUCAAACUCUAGUAAAAAAUAAUCACUCUACGACUGUUUUUUUUAAUAUAUAAAAUAUAUAUAUGAAAUUGUUGAGAAAGUAUUAUUAUUCUAAAUUAGUAACUGAAUUUCUAAUUCUAUUGAUAUAUUGACAACUCAUUCUUUUAUAUUGUACAAUUUUAUUUUAAUAAUUUUUACAUUUAAUUAUAAAUUUUUUGGUUAAAAUUCUCACAUAAAAUAUUAUGUAUAAUUCUCCAGUUGUCAAAGUAUAAUUUUUUAUUAUAAUUUUUCUUUUUUGUGAUAAUUUAUGGUGGUUGUUUUCAUUUGCAGUUGUUUGACUUUGCAAACAGUCAUCGAGGUAAGUAUUCAGACAGUAUCCCACCAGCAAGGGAAGUAUAUUCCAGCAGCGGAUACGAGGUGUGUAUAUAUAAAUCACUGAAUGACACUAAUUAAUACUUUUGGGAAAUUAAAAUUAAAUGAAAUAUGCAUAUUAGUUAUAGUUUUAUAUUAUAUAUUUAAAAAAUGUAAAAAAUUAUUUAAUUGUUUUAAGUUAACAAUCUUUAUAACAUUACAACUCAAACAGAAAUAUUUUUUUAUGAAAUAAAAUAAUUUAAAAUUAUACUGAUAGUUGGAGAUCCACCUAAACUAAAAAUUAUGUAUAUUUCGUUUUUAUAAGUGAGUGUAAUUAUAAGCUGUUUUUAGGAGAUUGACUUACAUUUAAAGUCUAUAUCAGAGUCAUUUAAAAGUUUAUCCUAAUGAAUGUUCGUUGGUCUUAUCAGGCCACCUUCGAUUGGAUCGUUAUCCAACCAUUCAUAAUAUAUAGUCUCUCACACAUACGAGUUGGCAGCCUUCGCAAAAUAACAUUUUUCUUUGUUUUAAUUAACAGGAUGAACUGACGUGGGCAGCAGCAUGGCUUUAUCGUGCGAGCAGCACGAAGAAAUACCUUGAUUACCUGGGAGCAGUGACAGACAGUGGUGGUGUGAGAGCAGAGUUUAGUUGGGAUGAUAAGUAUGUGGGUGCACAUAUUCUUGCAGCAAAGGUAUCAUUCAAUUUUCACAGAUACUAAUGUUUAAUCUCAAACUGUGAUAUUGUUGAAUUUUAUGUAAUUUGUUUUGAAUGUGAUGUGUGUGUGUGAUGCAGCUUGUUUUGGAUGGUAAAGUGAAUGCAUCAGGGAUAUGGGGUCAAUACAAGUCACAGGCAGAAGAAUACAUAUGCUCUUGUGCUCAGAAAUCAAACCAAAAUGUGGCAAAAACACUAGGGGGUCUCUUCUGGUUCUUGCCAUGGAACAAUAACCAAUAUGUUGCUACUGCAACAUUUGUCAUGUCUGUUUAUUCCAAAUAUUUAUCUUCAUUGGGUUCUUCCCUUAACUGCACUGCUGGUGUUGUUACUCCUGAUGAUCUCACUUCUCUUGUUCGUUAUCAGGUACUUCCAUUCAUCUCUUCUUAAAAACAUUUUAUAAUAUAUAAGUAAAUACAAAUAUUUACUAGGGUAGAAAUGACAUUUUACACUAGUUUUAUGAGACAUUUUAUCACCAGUAUAAAUGUGGGCGUGUAAAAUGUCAAAUAUAACACUAAUUGAGUUAUGUGACUCUAUAUUAUACCAAUUAUUCAAGUCAAUCGGUGUAAUAUAUGAGCUUACUAACUAGCCAUUUAAGUUCCUAUAUUACAUUGGGUGACUCGAAUAAUCGGUGUAAUAUAUGGUCAAUUUCGAGUGAUGAGUAAAAUUCAUAUUACACUGAUUUUAUAAGAUGGUAAAAACAUUUUAUAGCAUUUAAGUGGAUAUAAACUUCAUUUUAUAGACCAAUUUUAUAAGAUGAUAAACAUUUUAUAAUAUAUAAGUAGAUGAGUGUCAUAAGAUUGAAUUAAACUUGAAAUACAAAAUAACUGAAAGUUGUACUCUCUUCUUUGUGGCUAUAGGUUGACUACAUUUUGGGUUCAAACCCUAAGAACAUGAGUUACAUGGUUGGAUAUGGAUCAAAUUUCCCAAAGAAGAUUCAUCACAGAGGAGCAUCAAUCAUAUCAAUAAAGAAGGAUCCUAGUCCAGUAACAUGCAAAGAUGGGUUUCCGAAAUGGUUCUAUAAGAAUGCACCAAACCCUAAUGUGUUGGUUGGUGGAGUUGUGAGUCCAGAUGCAAAUGAUAAUUAUGAAGAUAGUAGGAAUGAUUUCCAACUAGCUGAGCCAGCAACUGUUACUUUGGGACCUUUGGUGGGUGUUCUUGCUAGUUUAGCUUAAUUUUUUAGAGUUUCACCUUUAAUCUAAAUCAGUAUCUUCAAUCCUGACAUGUAUUAGAUGAUAAAAAUGAUCUCAUAUAAUAUAUCAGAUAAAUUUUCAGUUGUAACUAUCUUUUUAGUUGUAACUGUUUUAUCAUCAGUUGUAACUAUCUUUUUAAUUGUAACUGUUUUAUCAGUUAUGGCUGUUAUCGGUUGUAACUGUUACAUCAGUAUUAUGAUAAUGAGUUUUUAUAUAAUCGGAUUUUUGUUGGUGUUGAAAUAAUAUGGAUUGAAAGAAUUAAUAAUAUAUAUAUAUAUAUAUAUAUAUUUAUUUGUAACUCUUCGUUUAUGCCAGAAUUUUUAUAUUGCUUUAGUUUCAAGUUUCUUCUAUACUCUUAUAACUGUAACACUCCAUAUAAUAUUUUGCACUAACUAACUCAAAAUAUUCAAUAUCUACACGUUACGAUAAAUUAUAAUUUAUCCAACAGCAGGUUUACGAAAAAAAAUCUAUAUUUACAACCAAAAUAUGAAAUAACAAAAUAAACUAGAUUUUUCUAUCAAUCUUGGCUCAUCUAUUUUAAUUUGCAUCUGUUUUUUACUUGCAUAUUAAAUAAAAUUAAACAAUUACAUAAAACAAGUAAUAUAAGAUUUAAUUCAAUAUACAUUACUACUAGAAAAUCAAUAAAUAAAAAAUAACUAAUUAUUAUAUUAAUUAAAUUAAAUAUUAUUUUAAAAAGAAAAAAUAUUAUUUAAAUUAGUUUAUAUAUUAAUACAAAUUUAUUUAUUAGUUUCUAAAAUCUUAAUAAACAAUUAGAUAUCAAUUUAAAAAUUAAUUUGUAAACUAUUAUUAAUAAUAGAAAUUGACUUCAAAUAACAAUUAUUUUUUAUAAAAAAAUAUAAUUGAGUGAGUAUAGAGUAAAUAAUUAUUUUUUAUUUUUAAAAUUAAUUUUUAUUACAAUAUUAAUUACUUUUUUUAUCAAGCAUAUUCAAAUUUACAUAUUAAUUAAUAUUCGAUUGAUUGAUACGAGGUUAUCCAAAAAUCUCUUUAUUAUCAUCACUAUUCAUUAAUACUAAAUCUCUCACAAUCCAAAACUCUAAAAUUUCAAUACAAAGAUCAAUAAAAAUCGAUGACUUGCAACCACUAAUUCAAUAUUAUCUUAAUGUACUUUAUGAUUCAAAGGUAAAGUAAUAUCAAACUAUAACAUGUAGAGUUCACUUCCUUUCUGUUAUUUCUUAAAUUUUAACCAAUAUUAUCUUAUUCUAAAAAGUUUGUAUUUUCUUUCAAUAAUCACAACUUUUUAAAUAAGUUACAUAUCAUCUUAUUAGGAGCUUAGAUUAACUAACAUUACACAUCCUCAAGACCAGUUGAUGAAGAAGUAUAUCCAGCAAAAAAAAUUGAAAAUAAUUUAAGAUGUAAGUUGCGCAUAAUCUGUUAAUGAUAGUGUACUUUAAUUAUAACAAAUUGACCUCAUCUUUUUCCCAUUAGUUAGCUGAUCUCCUAUUAAGAGGGAAUAUAAUUUAUUUACAAAAUCAAUUACAAAAUCUAUUAAUUAUUAAGAAAGAUUCCAUAAAAUUACCUAGAAUUUUAGAGAAAAAAAAUAUCUAUCGAUUAAGAAAAAUACAAUUACAUAAGAUUAAUUAAAACGCAACUAAGACUUGUGAAAUACAUGUCAAUGAGAAAUACGAAUUCUAAAUGUUCAAACUUGAUACUACUUAAACUUUAAAUCACAACAAAACCCAAACAAUAAAUUUCUCUCAAUCUUUUCAAAUACCUUACUAUCUAACUUAAAAGACCAUAUCAUGAUCAUAACAAUUUCAUUAAAGUGAUAAUAAUUUAAAGGAAGAAGUUUGUGAACCCUAAAUGAAAAAAAGUCUCCAUAAAAAAUGCACAUUCUAACUCAAAAUAAGGAGUGAAUAAUGAAACAACAAUUUAACAACAUUUCUAACGGGUUAAGAAAAUAAAAAAAAAUGCUAUGUCACGAGUGUGGCGAUACACAUGGAAUUUUCCGUUGCAAAAUUUUUUCAGUAGCUCAAUCGUCAUUAUCUGGAAUUGAAGACCAGUUCAAAAAGUUGAAAACGUAAUGACACGCAAGCAAACAUGACCCUCCAUAAAAUAAAGCUACUCGAAAGAGAGACCCCAACAACUCGAAAACAACCGCGAAAUUCUUCUAACAGAGAACAAAACCUCUCACAGAAUAAAAGGAAAACUCUCUCUGUUUCUCUCUCUUUUUCUCCUUUUCCUUUUUACUUGUUCGUUGAAACCGAAUCAAAAUCAGAACCUAUCGCAUCGCAAUAGCAUACUCUUCGUAUGCGCAAUCGAGCGCCGCAGAACAAUGGCGUCUCCGGAAUCGUUAUUUCUAGAAGAUUUCGGCCAGACGGUUGAUCUCACGCGCCGCAUCCGCGAGGUUCUGCUCAACUAUCCGGAGGGAACCACGGUGCUCAAGGAGCUCAUACAGAAUGCAGACGACGCCGGCGCCACCACCGUUUCGCUCUGCCUCGAUCGACGCUCUCACCGCGGCGACUCGCUGCUUGCGAACUCUCUCGCGCAGUGGCAGGGACCGGCGCUGCUGGCCUACAACGACGCCGCUUUCACGGAGGACGAUUUCGUCAGCAUCUCCAAGAUCGGCGGAAGCGCCAAGCACGGACAGGCCUCCAAGACCGGUCGCUUCGGGUAGCUUAUUUUUCGCUGCGGUGUAAUUGAGCUUAUUCAAUUGAACUGUGAUUAUGUUGAUUGGUGUUGUGUGUUUGUUUUGUGUUGAUGAUUGGUUCAAUCCAAGGAGUGAAGUUAUUGUAGUUGUCGCUGGAGUAUAGCGAGAGAAGUAAUGUGUGGUUGUUGACAAAGGAGUUGUGUUGUUAUGUUCUAUUUUUUUUAUAGAUGAUUUUAGUAUUUUAUGCUUGUGAGAAGUUAAAAAACGUAGUGCACUGCUUUUGUUGUGAAUUUUGUUGCUGUUGUAGUUAUUACUGGAAAAUAUCGUCAGAGAAGUGAUGUGUUUGGUUGUAGAAGAUUGACGAAGGAGUUGUAUAGUUAUGGAUUUUGAUUGUUUUUUCUAGCUUAUUCGUGUUUGUUGAGAACUUCAAAAAUAUAGUACGCUUGUUUAGGUGUAAUUUUUUUGUUUUAGUUGUAACCGGAAAUUAUGGUGAGAGAAGUGGUGUGUGGUUGUUGACGAUUGAUGAAGGAGUUGUGGAGUUAUAUAGAGUAUGAAUGUUUUUGGAAUUUUAUGUGUUUUGAGAGAAUGUAAAAAUGUAGUCCGAUGGUUUGUUUUUGUUGAUCAUUUCCUUUUCAUGGACGAGUGAACUGUAGGAACUGAAGCUGGACUUUCUGUACUGCAAUGUCAAGGCUCUGAUAAUGAGAUUGAUGUGUGGGAAUGUCAUAAUGAUUUUUAUUCAUAAACUGAAUGGGGGAUGUUGUUGAAUUUUAAUGUUUGUCAUUUAGUGUACCUAUAGAUAUAGUUGCACUCAUAUUUAAAAAGAAAAGGAAAGCUGUCCAAGGACACUUAAAUGCUAAUCCACAUAGAGAGAAAGAGAGUAAAAAGAAAGAAGUGUAGGUAUGAUAGGAAGAUAGAGAUAGAGAGAAGGGAUAGGUGGUGACGAGGUGUUUGAUAUAUAGGAGUGUUUUUAUAUCAUUACUCUUUCAAAAUUGUCAUUUUGUUCAAUAACCAACGUUGCUGGUUUCCCUUUCUCUGUCUGUCCUUUUUUUUUUCUGGAAAAAAAAUCUUAUUGACCUGAUUUUUGGGUUCUCUGCAUUUCUCUAAUUCUUUCAUCAUUUUGUUCUGCAUAUGCAUUUUAGGGUUGGCUUCAACUCAGUGUACCAUUUGACAGAUCUUCCCUCUUUUGUGAGCGGCAAAUAUGUUGUAUUGUUUGAUCCUCAGGGUGCUUAUCUUCCAAGAGUUUCUGCAGCAAAUCCCGGGAAGCGGAUUGAUUUCACUGGCUCAUCUGCCCUCUCCUUUUACAGGGACCAGUUUUCCCCAUAUUGUGCAUUUGGUUGUGACAUGCAAAGUCCUUUUUCUGGAACUUUGUUCCGUUUUCCUUUGAGGAAUGCAGACCAGGCAGCCAGAAGUAAGCUCUCAAGGCAAGCAUAUUCACCAGAAGACAUUUCCUCCAUGUUUGUGCAGCUCUUCGAAGAAGGGGUUUUGGCACUUCUCUUUCUUAAGAGUGUGCUGUGCAUUGAAAUGUAUUUGUGGGAUGUUGGAGAACCUAAACCUAAGAAAAUUUAUUCAUGUUCUGUCAGUUCAGUAUCUGAUGAUACAGUUUGGCAUCGACAGGCACUGGUCAGAUUGUCUAAAUGUUUAAAUACUACUGCUGAAAUGGAUGCAUUUCAAUUGGAAUUCUUAAGUGAGAGAAUAAGUGGUGAUGAAGUUAAGAGGCAAACCGAGAGAUUUUAUGUGGUGCAAACCAUGGCUGCAGCAUCUAGUAGGAUUGGCUCUUUUGCUACUACUGCAUCAAAAGAUUAUGACAUUCACUUGCUGCCCUGGGCAUCAAUUGCGGCAUGCAUUUCUGAAAAUUCAACAAAAGUAAUUUUCAAUAUCUUAUGCCUUUUGCUGUUGCCCCAGCCUCCUCUCUCUCUCUUUCUCUCUCUCUCUCCCUCUCUCGUGCAUACACACAUUGAAUUGUAGUUGUCUAUAACUUUGAAUUUGCUUUUGAUUCUGCACCAUUAUUAACUUUAAUCUUAUUGUGGAAGUGAAGUCAGUUGAAAGUGGUGUCCCAUUUACCUACAUUUUGGUUCAUACAGACCUGCAAUUAAUUUUGACUGCAAUUGAUGAUUCAAAGUUAAGCAUGUAACUCUGUUUGAAGUAUAAAAACUUCUUGGGCUUGUUCAAAGUGUUUGAAAAGAUUUCACUCCUCUGGUUAGAGGUUUUGGGAGAUCAAUGGGGUGGUUGUUUCAGAGAAAAAUGCAAUCAUGCUGUUGCUUGUUUGUGUUCUGGAUAUGGUAUUUAGAUCAGAGUUGUAUCUUUAAUAGGCCAUCAAGUGGACUAAAGCUCUAUACUGAUGUGUUACAGCUUUCUAUGUUUUUUGGUCCUCUGCUUGUUUUACUUUCUUUCCCUUUGUUCUUGUAGAAUAUGGUAUUUUUCAUGGUAUGUUGCUAGUUUAAAUUCUUGAUUGUUUUUUCUGUUUCUAGAUUUAUUUUUAGAAUUUUGUUUAAAACAAACUGCCAUUAUGGUGAAUCUGUUAUAUGUAAUGUUUUCCAUGACGCAUGAUGCGUCCAUUAGAACUUGCUUUGUUUUAUAGGUGUCCCAGUCUAAAUAAGAAAAUGAUUGAGGUGAUAAAGUUACCCAUGACAAAGAUAUUACAUGCACAAGUGUGAUUCUUCCUUAUUUUUUGGAGCCCUUUGUUUAUAUAUAUACAUAUAGAUAGAUAGAUAUUCAUGGUCCAUUCCUCUUAUUAUUGUAUUGUGUUUUUCACAGAACAAUAUUCUUAGGACUGGUCAGGCUUUCUGUUUUCUUCCACUACCUGUUAGAACUGGCCUUACUGUACAAGUCAAUGGAUUCUUUGAGGUCUCAUCAAAUCGUCGUGGUAUCUGGUAUGGGGAUGACAUGGACAGAAGUGGAAAAGUUCGUUCUAUCUGGAAUAGGCUUCUUUUGGAAGAUCUUGUUGCUCCUGCUUUUACGCAUAUGCUACUUGGUAUUAAAGAAUUGUUAGGGCCAACAGACAUUUACUAUUCUUUAUGGCCUAUUGGAAGUUUUGAAGAGCCAUGGAAUAUAUUGGUUCAACAAAUAUACAAAAAUAUUGGUAAUGCUACAGUUCUGUAUUCGGAUGUCAAUGGAGGAAGUUGGGUAUCACCAAGUGAAGCCUUUCUUCAUGAUGAAAAAUUCACCAAAAGUGAAGACCUUGGUUUGGCUCUGAUGCAGCUGGGAAUGCCAGUUGUGCAUUUGCCUAAUUCAUUGUUUGAUAUGCUUUUACAGUAUAGUUCAAGCAAGGUGGUUACCUCUGGUACAGUACGUCAAUUUCUUAGAGAAAAUGGUACAUUUAAUUAUUUGAGCAGACAGUACAAACUUCUAUUGCUCGAAUAUUGCCUAGAGGACUUGGUUGAUGAUGAUGUUGGAAAAGAGGCUUAUGAUCUGCCUUUACUUCCUUUAGCUAAUGGUAAUUUUGCAUCAUUUUCAGAAGCAUCAAAAGAAGUCUCUUAUUUCAUUUGUGAUGAAUUAGAAUACAAACUUAUGCAUCCGGUUUCUGAUAGAGUAAUUGAUCAGAACAUUCCUCCCAAUAUAUUGAGCAGACUCUCUGGCAUUGCGAUGUCCUCAAAAACCAAUGUCAUUCUUUGUAGUAUUCACCAUUUUGCUAAGCUAUUCCCUGCAUUUAUGCCAGGUGAUUGGAAAUAUAGAAGUAAAGUGUUUUGGAACCCUGACUCUUGUCAAAAGCCAACAUCAUCAUGGUUUCUGCUAUUCUGGCAAUAUCUAGGAAAGCACACUGAAAUAUUACCACUAUUUAUUGAUUGGCCAAUUUUGCCUUCCACAUCGGGGCAUCUGUUGAAACCUUCCAGACAAUUGAAAAUGAUCAAUGGAAGCAAUAUCUCUGAAACGGUGCAGGAUAUCCUUGUCAAAGUUGGAUGUAAUAUAUUGAAUCCAAAUUAUGUAAUUGAGCAUCCAGAUAUAUCUAGUUAUGUAUGUGAUGACAGUGCAACAGGUGUUUUGGAAUCAAUAUUUAAUGUAGUUUCUAGUCCUGAUGUUAUGCAUGCUUCACUUGAUAGUCUAGUAACUGAAGAAAGAAAUGAACUCCGAAGAUUUCUUCUUGAUCCUAAAUGGUAUGUUGGACACUCUAUGGAUGAAUUUAGCAUACGGUUUUGCAAGAGAUUACCUAUAUUUAGAGUCUAUGGAAGAGAUUCUGCCGAUGAUUUCCAAUUCUCUGCCUUAGAAAAUCCUCGAAUGUACUUACCACCAUUGGAUGUGCCGGAGAUUAUUCUGGCGGGCAUCGAGUUCAUGGUCAAAUCCUCAAAAGUAGAAGAGGAUAUUUUGUCAAGAUGUUAUGGAGUUGAGAGAAUGGGUAAAGCACAAUUUUACAUGCAACAUGUUUUUAAUAGAGUUGGCGAGUUGCAAGCUGAUGUUCGGGAUAACAUUAUGUUAUCAGUUCUACAAAAUUUGGCACUUUUGUCCCUUGAAGAUACAAAUAUCAGGGACUCAUUGAAAAAUUUGAAAUUCAUACCGACACUCACUGGUGCUCUUAAGUGUCCUUCAGUUUUAUAUGAUCCUUGUAAUGAAGAACUAUAUGCAUUACUAGAAGACUCAGAUAGUUUCCCUUCUGGGGCUUUUCGAGAAUCUGAAAUACUUAAUAUUCUACGAGGCCUGGGACUUAGAACUUCUGUGUCUCCAGAUACUGUUUUAGAAUGUGCUCGAUGCAUUGAUCGCUUGAUGCAUGAGGAUCAACAAAAGGCAUAUUUAAGAGGGAAAGUGCUUUUCUCUUACCUUGAAGUUAAUUCAUUAAAGUGGCUUCCUGAUCAAGUUGUUGAUAAUAAAGGAGCAGUUAACCGAAUAUUGUCACGAGCAACAACUGCUUUUAGGUCUAGCAACACAAAAUCUGAUCUUGAAAAAUUCUGGAAUGACCUACGACUGAUUUCCUGGUGCCCAGUUUUAGUCACUACUCCUUUUCAGUCAUUACCAUGGCCAGUUGUGUCAUCAAUGGUUGCUCCUCCAAAACUUGUAAGGCCACUGAAUGAUUUGUGGCUUGUCUCAGCUAGCAUGCGGAUAUUGGAUGUUGAAUGCUCUUCCACAGCUUUAUUGUAUGGCCUGGGAUGGAUGUCUCCACCUGGAGGAGGUGUAAUUGCUGCACAGUUACUGGAGCUUGGGAAAAACAAUGAGAUUGUGUCUGAUCAAGUUCUUAGGCAGGAAUUAGCUUUGUCAAUGCCGAGAAUAUACUCAAUACUGUCUGGAAUGAUGUCUUCAGAUGAGAUUGAGAUUGUAAAAGCUGUUCUUGAAGGAUGUCGAUGGAUUUGGGUGGGGGAUGGAUUUGCAACUUCUGAAGAAGUUGUCCUGGAUGGUCCUCUUCAUUUGGCUCCAUAUAUUCGUGUUAUCCCAGUUGAUUUGGCAGUUUUCAAAAAAUUGUUUCUUGAACUUGGUAUUCGUGAAUUCUUGCAACCUGCUGAUUAUGCUAAUAUUCUUCAUAGGAUGGCAGUUAGAAAAGGAUCAUCUCCUCUUGACACACAGGAGAUAAGGGCUGUCACGCUAAUAGUGCAUCAUAUAGCUGAAGUUUACCAUCAUGAACAAAAAGUCCAGCUCUAUCUUCCAGAUGUGUCAAGUAGACUAUUUCUUGCCGGUGACUUGGUUUAUAAUGAUGCCCCCUGGUUGCUUGGCUCUGAUGAUUCUAGUGGCUCAUUUGGCAGUGCCCCAACUGUGGCUUGGAAUGCAAAGAGAACAGUUCAAAAAUUUGUGCAUGGAAACAUUUCUAAUGAUGUAGCAGAAAAACUUGGAGUUUGCUCUCUUCGCCGGAUGUUGCUGGCAGAGAGUUCAGAUUCAAUGAAUUUUGGCCUGUCUGGAGCUGCUGAGGCUUUUGGACAGCAUGAGGCUUUGACUACAAGGCUUAAGCAUAUACUUGAAAUGUAUGCUGAUGGACCUGGGACCCUAUUUGAGCUGGUACAAAAUGCAGAAGAUGCAGGAGCUUCUGAAGUAAUAUUUCUUUUGGAUAAUUCUCACUAUGGGACUUCUUCUAUUCUUUCUCCUGAAAUGGCUGAUUGGCAAGGUCCUGCUCUAUACUGUUUCAAUGACUCAGUUUUUAGUCCCCAAGAUCUUUAUGCAAUAUCUCGUAUUGGUCAAGAAAGUAAACUUGAGAAGGCUUUUGCAAUUGGGAGAUUUGGACUAGGAUUUAAUUGUGUCUAUCACUUUACAGACAUCCCUAUGUUUGUUUCUGGAGAAAAUAUUGUAAUGUUUGAUCCUCAUGCCAGUAAUUUGCCUGGGAUUUCUCCUUCACACCCUGGUUUACGAAUUAAGUUUGUGGGACGACAAAUUUUGGAGCAAUUUCCUGACCAAUUUUCCCCAAUGCUACAUUUUGGAUGUGAUUUGCAACAUCCUUUUCCUGGUACAUUAUUUCGAUUCCCUCUUAGAACCGCAGGUGUGGCCUCCCGGAGCCAAAUCAAAAAGGAAAUUUAUACACCUGAAGAUGUCAGAUCUCUUUUUGCUUCUUUUUCUGAGGUUGUUUCUGAAACAUUACUUUUCCUGCGCAAUGUGAAAUCUAUCUCUAUUUUUGUGAAGGAAGGAACAGUGAAUGAAAUGCACCUAUUGCACCGUGUAUGCAGAAACAAUAUUGGUGAGCCUGAAGUUGGAUCUGCUGGAGCACAGGAUGUGUUCAACUUCUUCAAGGAAAGUAGACGUGUUGGAAUGAAUAGAGCUCAGUUUCUGAAGAAACUAAGCCUAUCCAUUGGUAGAGAUUUGCCUUAUAAAUGCCAGAAGUACCUUAUUACUGAGCAAAGUACAUCUGGUUGUAGUUCACACUAUUGGAUAACAACUGAAUGUUUAGGUAAUGCUCAAAAGAAAACGUCUGAAACAGCCAAUAGUAGCUGUUACAAUUUUGUUCCUUGGGCAUGCGUUGCUGCAUAUUUGAAUUCUGUAAAGCUUGAUGUUGACCCGGUUGAAAGUUCAAAGGGGGAUCAUUGCAUUGUUUCUCCUGAUCUGUUUCAAAAUGUUAGUUUGCCUAAUCAUUUGCUGGAAAAUUUUGAAGGUCGUGCAUUCUGCUUUUUACCUUUACCAAUCAGUACUGGUCUUCCUGCUCAUGUGAAUGCAUACUUUGAAUUAUCUUCAAAUCGCAGGGAUAUCUGGUUUGGUUCUGAUAUGGCUGGAGGUGGAAGAAAACGCUCAGACUGGAAUAUUUUCCUCCUUGAAAAUGUUGUUGCCCCUGCAUAUGGUCGUUUGCUUGAGAAGAUAGCAUCAGAGAUUGGUCCUUGCAAUGUGUUCUUCUCGUUGUGGCCAACAACAUUAGGAUUAGAACCUUGGGCAUCAGCAGUACGGAAACUCUAUCAAUUUGUUGCUGAGUUUAAUCUCCGUGUAUUGUAUACAGAAGCUAGAGGAGGUCAGUGGAUUUCAACCAAACAUGCUAUAUUUCCUGAUUUUACUUUCCUCAAGGCAGCUGAGCUUGUAAAAGCGCUGUGUGGGGCUUCUCUACCUCUCGUUACUCUUCCACAGUCACUUUCUGAAAGGUUUAUGGAAAUCUGUCCAUCAUUGCAUUUUCUGACUCCUAAGCUGUUAAGGUCUCUUUUAAUCAGAAGGAAGCGUGAAUUCAAAGAUAGGGAUGCAAUGAUUCUGACUCUUGAAUAUUGCUUACAUGACUUGCAAAAAUCCUUGCAGUUUGAUGCUCUAUGUGGCUUGCAUUUGUUACCAGUUGCAGAUGGUUCCUUUACAUCGAUUGAUAUGAAGGGAGUUGGAGAAAGAGUUUACAUUGCACGUGGUGAUGAAUAUGGCCUUUUGAAAGAUUCCAUUCCUCAUCAACUUGUAGAUUGUGCAAUUCCUGAAGAAGUUUACAGAAAACUUUGUUACAUUGCCGAAACAGAUGGCACAAACAUUUCUUUCUUGUCAUGCCAGUUGCUCGAGAAACUUCUUGUGAAAUUACUUCCUGUAGAGUGGCAACAUGCUCGGCAAGUGAGGUGGACUCCUGGUAUUCAUGGCCAACCAAGUGUAGAGUGGUUGCAACUACUGUGGAACUAUCUGAAAUCAUAUUGUGAUGAUCUUAUCAUGUUUUCUAAGUGGCCUAUAUUGCCAGUUGGGGAUGACUGCCUAAUGCAGUUAGCACAAAAAUUGAAUGUGAUAAGAAAUGAUGGAUGGAGUGAGAAGAUGUCUUCUUUAUUAGUGAAGGUUGGAUGUUUAUUCUUGAGACAUGAUAUGUUAUUGGAUCACCCUAAAUUGGAAUGCUUUGUGCAGUCAGCAACAGCAAGAGGUGUACUAAAUGUGUUUUUGGCUAUUGCUUUGGAACCACAAAAGAUUGAGGGGAUCUUUAUAGAUGUAUCUGAAGGGGAGCUUCAUGAACUCCGAAGUUUUAUUCUCCAAACAAAAUGGUUUUCCGAAGAGCAUAUUGAUGACAUGCAUAUUGAAAUCAUCAAACACCUUCCGAUAUUUGAGUCAUACAAAAGCAGAAAACUAGUAAGUUUGAGUAAUCCUAUUAAAUGGCUUGGUCCUACUGGUGUUUGUGAAGAUCUUUUAAAUGAUAACUUCUUAAGAACUGAAUCAGAAACGGAGCGGGUCAUUAUGAAGAGGUAUUUAGGGAUGAAAGAACCAACUAAAGUGGAAUUCUACAAAGAUCACAUUUUCAAUCACAUGUCAGAGUUCCUUUCGAGGCAAGAAAUUGUUUCAGACAUUCUGCAUGACGUACAACAUUUGAUUGAAGAGGAUCUCUCUCUCAAGUCUUCAUUCUCCUGUGCACAAUUUGUUCAGGCAGCCAAUGGAUCUUGGCAACAACCAUCCAGGUAAUAUCCUAUUUAUUGAAAUAAAAUUUCAAUAAUUCCCAAUAAGUUAUCCUCUAUUGUAUUUUAAGUUGCAUUUUCUGUGGUUUUGCUUCUAAAUGGUCAGCACCAGUAUGAGUUUUGUACAAGGAAGAACAUUAAUUGCAAGUUUGCAAUGUAACAUGUUCUAGAUUUCUAAAUUAGGAAUUUAAAUUCUUUCCACAAGGAAAGCAAAAAGAAUAUACUUUUACAAUUUCCCUCAACUUUAUUCUUUUAUUAGUGGGUUGAUGGAUAUUGUUAUUUAAAGCCAGUUAGCUUUUUAUUGCACUAUUAUGGGUGGACAUUGAAAAAAAUGGUAGAAAACAUCAUGCAUAUCUGAAAAGUUUGUUUACUAUUCUAUUAGAAGACUGUGUUAUGGUUGAAUUGCAUUUGUCAUGUUGGCAUUAUUUUUAGCUGUUUCAUCUUGCAGAUAUAUAUGGUAUACAUUUAUAUGUGAUCAAUGUUUCAAAAUCCACUAGCUUAUUUUUUCCUUGUGAACUUUUGUUAUGGCUAUAUGACUUUCUCACUGUCAAAGAUCUACUCAGCCCAGAAGCUCUCUAAAAACAAUUAUUUUUUAAACCAUCUGCACAUGCUGGAAAAAAAUAUGAAGAUGUGAUGAGAAUUUCAGUUAUUUUUAUUGAUGAGGAAUUUAUUGACAUUUCAAUGGUAUAUAUUAAAUGUAUCCUAAAUUAAUCUGCAACCUAAAUUUCAUUGGAAAUUAGUCAUGCUUUGAUUUGACAUCUUAUAUUUUUGCACUAAUGUUGAAGUUUGACUCAACUAAAACAAUUUAUGGAUAAUUACUUGAGAAAAUUGUAAUUAGACAUCAAAGCAUUUGUAAUUUGUUCCAAAUUAUUUAUGUAAAUAAACACUGAAUUUUCAGCUGCCGCUUUCUUGUACUGAUGUUUUAUCCUUGAAAGGUUAAGCUUCUUGAUUAAGUAUUUUACUUGCUUAAAACUGACGUUUGGAUUGCUGACUAGAUUGUUAUUGCAGGCUUUAUGAUCCUCGGGUUCCUCACCUUAAAAAGAUGCUUCAUGGGAAUGUUUUCUUUCCUUCUGACAAAUUCUUAGAUCAUGGAAUUUUGGAUACUUUAGUUUGUCUUGGACUUAGGAAAACUCUGGGAUUUACUGGCUUGCUUGAUUGUGCUAGAUCAGUCAGCCUCUUGCAUGAUUCUGGGGACAUUGAUGCCUCCAAGCAUGGUGGAGAGUUACUGGAUCUUUUAGAUACAUUAGCCUAUAAGCUCUCAAAUAAAGGAGGAAGUAAGAAUGAUGAUCAACAGGGUGAUGUGGCUCUGGGAAGUAGCAGCAUAAUGGAUGAUGCUUUUGUAAAUGAUGGCUUCCCUAAAGAACAGACCUGUCUAACUGAUAUUGAUUCAUUUUUAAGCAGCUCAACAUUUGAUAUGGCAGAAGAAGAGUUUUGGUCUGAAUUGAAGCUAAUCUCUUGGUGUCCAGUAAUUUCUGAUCCAGCUGUUAGGGGACUUCCAUGGUUAAAAUCCAAUAACCAAGUAGUAGCGCCCCCCACUAGUGUGAGGCCUAAAUCACAGAUGUGGAUGGUAUCUUCCUCAAUGUUCAUUUUAGACGGUGAAUGUGACUCUACGUAUCUACAGACUGAACUUGGGUGGAUGGAUUGCCCAAAUAUUGGUGUUCUAAUAAGGCAGUUAAUUGAGCUAUCUAAGUCCUAUCAGCAGCUUAAGAUAAACUCACUGCUGGAUCCCAGUUUUGAUGCACAGCUGCAAAAGGAAAUACCUUGCCUUUACUCAAAAUUGCAGGAAUUUAUUAAUACUGAGGAUAUCAAUAACCUGAAAGCAGGGUUAGAUAGUGCUUCAUGGGUUUGGAUUGGUGAUGAUUUUGUAUCACCAAAUGCACUGGCAUUUGAUUCACCUGUAAAAUAUACACCUUAUUUGUAUGUUGUUCCAUCUGAACUAUCAGAGUAUAAAGAUUUGUUGAUAAAGUUGGGGGUUAGAUUGAGUUUUGGUAUUUCAGACUAUCUUCAAGUAUUACAAAGGUUGCAGAAUGAUGUGCAUGGGGUUCCUCUCUCUACUGAUCAGUUAAAUUUUGUCCAUCGUGUCCUUGAAGCCAUAGCAGAAUGUUGCUUGGAGAAGCCACUUUUUGAGACUUUUGAUUGCCCCUUGUUGAUUCCUAAUGAUUUUGGAGUUCUGAUGCAAGCAGGAGAUCUUGUAUAUAACGAUGCACCUUGGCUCGAAAACAGCUCUCUUAUUGGGAGACAUUUUGUGCAUCCAGUUAUAGGCAAUGAUUUGGCAGACAAACUUGGUGUACAGUCAGUUCGAUGCCUUUCUUUAGUCAGUGAUGAUUUGACUAAAGAUCUGCCCUGCAUGGACUAUAAUAAAGUGAAUGAACUUUUGGCGCAGUAUGGAAACGAUGAGUUUUUGUUGUUUGACCUUCUUGAGUUGGCAGAUUGCUGCCAAGCCAAGAGAUUACACCUAAUUUAUGAUAAGAGGGAACAUCCUCGCCAAUCCCUGCUGCAGCACAAUUUAGGUAAUUUUUAGAUAUGUUUUAAUAAAAUUGGAUAUUUAUGUUCAGGUAAAUGUAUAGGCUUUGGUUUCUGUGUAAUUUUGUUUGCUUAUUCUAAACAUUUGAGAAGCUUGUGUUAUUUCUUAUAAAAACCUUUUUUUAGAAUACUUAUUUGAUGUUUGAAGCAUUUGCCCAAUAUCAUUAUAUUAAUAAAUGGAAGAUUUUGAUGUGUCAUCUUAGUGUUGUGCUGUGAUUGGAUGCUGAUGGUGCCUUUGAGGACCAAAUUAUCUUUCUGAAUGGUUGAUAAUUUAAUUGGUGCACUUCCUCUCUCUCUCUUUCAAUGAGGAUGUAUAGAGCUCUGAAUAAAUGUGUUAAGAAUAUUUGUAGAGUUUUUAUUAUUUUGACGAUUCUAUUCAUUUCCUUUUGUUCUGUAUUCUUUUAGAGUAUAUCAUGUUCUUCUUGGUGCAAGGCGGGUAGUGUUAUUCUUUUUUAACCUGGGUAAGGCAUCCAAGGUUGUGGAUAAUGGCUACUGUCUGUGUUGUGUUUGACUGGUGGAUUGACCAUGAUGACCUGCCUAAAUAAUGUUGGGAAUUGAGUCUAAUUGGGUCUUACAGCAGGAACGAAAGCAUUGCUAGACCAGUUUAUUCAGGGGGCCCAAACAGAGAGAACACGUUUUUUUGAGGAGGGCAUGUUUAAGAUUAUGUUAGUCAAGGGCACCAUAUGAGUCUGGCUUCACCUGAGUAGUGAAUAAUUUUGGCUUUCUACAGUGGAGAGAUAAUGGGCUGCUGCCCUCCCAGCCCACCAUGCCUAGUGAGUGAACCUACUUGAACUGUUAAUUUUUUAUAAAGGACGACCAAAGACUUGGUCCAUUGAAUAGGAGGAUAUUUCUUGAUUGAUGUAUCAUGUUGGAUGUUCUUCUAGAGCUCAAGGUGUAUAUUUUCCCUUCUCAUCAAGCAGUUAGGUUGCUGCCUUGUGACGUUAUCGUAACAAGUUCUAGUCCUAGAAACAGCUUCCCUGCUCGGUUGGUUAGGUUGCUAGAGGCUGCUUACCUGACUUUCCCUAGACUAUGGAAUUGUGGAGUUGUGUGCACAGGGACUUAUUUUCUUACUAAGUUUGCGAACAUCAUUGGAUGCCUGUGUUGUCUAGCUUAACUUAUGGAAUACACAUAGUUAGUCUGCAGCUAGGGGUAUUUCAAAGUUAAUGCCGUCUGUUGCGUGUGAAAUUACCAUACUGUGUUUAGCUGUUUUGGAUUACUUUUCUAAAUUUCAGUUAACAUGGUAUGAUUUCUUUAUACAGGUGAAUUCCAAGGGCCUGCCCUUGUAGCAAUCUUUGAAGGUGCCUGCUUGAGUCGAGAGGAAUUUAGUAAUUUCCAGCUCCGUCCUCCAUGGAGAUUGCGUGGCAACACAAUUAACUAUGGUUUGGGAUUGGUUAGCUGCUAUUCCAUAUGUGACCUUCUCUCAGUCAUUUCUAGUGGCUUCUUUUAUAUGUUUGAUCCUCAUGGUUUGGUACUUGGUACACCUUUGACGAAUGCCCCAUCAGCAAAGAUGUUUUCUUUGAUAGGUAUACUGUGUACUCAUCAUCUGAGUUAAUGCAAAAUAAUUAGAUAGUUUCUAAAUUUUUCCAUUUCAUUCCCAUUUUCUAUUUUUCACUUUACUACUACUGAUAACUUUAUGCAAGUGUACUGUGAGUACUUUAGGUUGAUCUCUUGCAGACAUACUUCACUAUGUCAGAUGGUAGGGACUGUUUGACUGGAGAAUUGUAGAGCACAUACUUUGUGUGUGCUUUUAUAUCGAAGUGUUAAAACUUGUAAAGUUGUAUAAGUAGUACAUUAUUAUUAUCCCAAUAACAGAGCCAAGUCAGAACGAAGAAAGUGCAACACUAUGGCGUUAAUUCAUUGAAAUAUUUUCUGUUCUCUUUACCCGUAUGUCAAAUUCAUUGAAGCCCUCAAAUUUUUUUCUUUAUUUUUCUUGCAUAAAUACAGAAGAUGAAAAAUAAUAUUUGUUAAAUUAUUUUUGAUUUUGGAAUUGAAUAAUCACUCACUUGGUUAAUAAUGUUCAAACAGUGGUUAGUGAAUAACUGGUUAUUGUCAUGCUUAAUAGUGGAAUGAUUAAUUGUUCCUAAAUUGGAAAGUAAGUUUCAAAUAUUUCUUUUUUAAGUAUUAUUGUUUGAUCCUUUUUAUGGUAGUUAGUUAAUGGUUACUUAUGAGAGGUACCCUUAUUGUCUAUGCUUCAAGAUUGGAAAGUCUUCUGGUUUCGAUAUCCAAUAUUUAAGCUCAUUUUAAUAUGUAUUUUCAUAGUGUUACUUUUGUACUUUUUCCUUCUGUGGAGUAUUUUUUUUUUAUAAAAUAAAAGAGCCUAACUAUUCUUUUAUUUAAUUUUUUAAUUUUGUAAUCUAAUAGCGAAAUUCCUAUACAAUAUUAGAACAUAACGUUGUUUACUCUUGAGGUUUCAGGUAAUGAUCUGACUCAACGAUUUUGUGAUCAAUUUAGUCCAAUGCUGGUCGACCGGAAUGACUUGUGGUCAUUAGCCGAUUCUACCAUUAUUCGGAUGCCUUUAUCAUCUGACUGCUUGAAGGAUGGACCCGACCUUGGAUCAAACAGAAUAAGGCUUAUUACUGACAUAUUUAUGAAGCAUGGAUCUAGAACACUCCUGUUUUUGAAGUCCGUUUUACAGGUAAAUUUACUACUGUUCAGUUGUAUAUUCAUGCAGCAUGGCAGAACAAAUAGGAUUUAAGAGGUUGAAAUUAGGUUUUAUUUGGGAUUUGGAAUAGAACUUGGGGAAUUGAAUGUUCGCAUGGAAUGUGGGGAAAUGUUGGUUUGAAGGCAUUUGGUUGAGUGGAGGUUUAUGGGAUGUGAGCCACGCAUGCUAGAUUAGGUUUGUGACAAAUUCAAACAAGAAAUUCUGGGGAUUUGGUGUGGUGAAAAUCUAAUGAUUUUUGAGAGGAAAUGGGUUUGGUUUUUUGUGAAACUUAAAAUGUGUGAAAGGGACUAACACUUGAGGGGAAGAUUGUUGAUGUUCAAGUGUGAUUUGGGAGUCUCACAUUGGGUGAAAAUGAGGAAGAUGAACAAAUAUACAGGGUGAAAGUCCCUCAGACCCGUGUCUUAAGAUUUUGGGUGUAGAGUUGUGUCUUGGUGCCAUAUGAGGUUGUCUCAUCAUGGCUCUUUGGUAAAGAUCUCACGACAUUUCCCCUCAAAGAACCCAAACAAUUGGCUGUCUGUGGGCAAAAUGUAGAAGGAGAAAGAAAAGACUUUUACUGGGGGGGAGGUUACAAUGUCUGAAAGGGAUUCACAGUUGAAGGGGAAAAUUGUUGAUGUCUUAAGUGAGUUGGAAGUCUGACACUUAUGUUUAUUGUGCUCAAUAGUCUAUCUUAUUCAUACCAUAUAUUAGAGAUAGGUACUUUAUGUAUUAGUGUUUUUACAUUAUUUUUUGCAUCUCACUGUUAAUUCCUUUAGAUUUUCUGUUACAGAGUUAGUUAGCUAUCAGUUAGUUUGUUAGCUUCUUAUUCAGCAAUGAGUCGUACAGUUCAGAUAUAUAAGGUUGCCCUACCUGUACAUUCUUCUACUGAAACAUUUACAGUUCAAUUUAUCAUUGUUCAGUUUUCUCUCUAAUUCUCUGAAUUCUAUUACUGUAAGUGCAUUAAGUACAGAGCUAACCAAAUAGUAAUUACAUGGCUAAUUAACUGUUUAACUGCAGAUCUGACUACUUUUUUAGGGCAGAAAUAGUCAAGGAGUAAUUAUGAUUCUUGGUGCGUGCAUGUGUCUAUUUAUAUACGAGGAUAGCUUAUAUCAUCUACUAUUAAUAGAAAAUUGUGCAUAGAAAACACCUGUAUACUUAAUAUGUCUUGUUUGUAAUUGAUACCACAUGAGAGGACUCUUGUUUGGAACAUUUUAAUAAUUCUAUUGAUCCAGAGUGAAAUUGCAUUCCUUAUAGGUAUCCAUAUCAACAUGGGAAGAAGGAAAUCCCAAUCCAAGCCAGAAUUUUUCAAUAAGCAUUGACCCAUCAUCUUCUAUUUUGAGGAAUCCAUUUUCUGAAAAGAAAUGGAGAAAGUUUCAAUUAUCCAGAAUAUUUAGCAGCUCCAAUGCGAUGAUAAAGAUGCAUGUAAUUGAUGUGGAUUUAUAUUCAGAAGGAACUACAGUCAUUGAUAGAUGGCUUGUUGCACUCAGCCUGGGUUCUGGACAAACCAGAAAUAUGGCUCUUGAUCGGUAUGAUUUUAUUUGAAUAUUAUAAUGGAUAUCAUGUGGUGUUUAUGCUCAAAUUGCAAGGAUGUCAAAAACUAAUGUUGAAACUUGGUUUUCAACAACACACAAUGUCAUUGUUUAAUCUGUGUCAAUGCUUUGCAAGAACUGGGUUGUCAUUUUCCUUUUAUUAACUUGAAAACCUUUUACAUAUCGAUGGCUCAGAUUGAGGAUGCAUCUAGCUCUUUCUCUAAAAUAUAAAAUAGCCAUUAAUAAGAAAACAAAGAGAAGUUUAUGAAUGUGGAAGUUAUUUUCCAUGGUUUGUUUAUUUCUUGGAAAAAAAUUCCUUGGCUUUGCACAUUGCUUCUUUGUCUUGAUCAUAAGCAAGGGUGCAUUCAUACUGCAGCCUUUUCAUUCUUUAUUCCUCUUUUUCAAUUAGAGUUGGGUAGGACAGUAAACAAGUCUUAAUUUAUCUUGAAACUGAAUCAAGAGUAAUGAUAAUUGAAGUUUUAUGUUCCAUAUAUUAUGUUUAUCUCAUGAAAGUUCUGUUUUGUUUGGUAAUAUCUAUCAAAAUUCCAUUUUUUUCUGCUCAGGCGGUAUCUUGCAUACAACUUGACUCCUGUUGCUGGAAUAGCAGCACUUGUAUCCAGCAAUGGUCAUCAUGCCAAUGUUUACUCAAGGAGCUCAAUUAUGGCCCCUCUUCCUUUGUCUGGUUGUAUAAACAUGCCUGUCACUGUCAUAGGUUGUUUCCUUGUUUGUCACAAUAGGGGUCGUUUUCUCUUUAAAUACCAAGACAGAGGGGCUUCCACUGAGGGACACUUUGAUGCUGGAAAUCAAUUAAUUGAAUCUUGGAACAGAGAGGUGAUGUCCUGUGUAUGUGAUUCCUACGUUGAAAUGGUUUUGGAGAUUCAGAAGCUAAGACGAGAUAUUCCAAGUUCAUUAUUUGAUUCUAGUGCCUAUUCUGCAAUAAGUCUCUCUUUGAAGGCUUAUAGAGAUCAAAUCUACUACUUCUGGCCACGAUCUUGUGAGAGUCAAGUUCUGAUUGAUCAGCAUGCUAAUCUCGAUAACAACCCUCCAAGUCCAACAACAGUUGUUCUUAAGGCUGACUGGGAAUGCCUUAAAGAUCAGGUAAUACGUCCAUUUUAUUCUCGUAUUAUUGACCUUCCAGUAUGGCAGCUGUACUCAGGAAAUUUGGUCAAGGCUGAAGAAGGCAUGUUUCUUUCACAGCCAGGGAAUGGGUUGGUUGGUAAUUUGCUUCCAGCUACAGUUUGCAGCUUUGUAAAAGAGCAUUAUCCUGUAUUUUCAGUACCAUGGGAAUUGGUGACUGAAAUCCAAGCUGUGGGUUUUUCAGUGCGAGAAAUUAGACCUAAAAUGGUUAGGGAUCUCCUAAAAGUUUCUUCAAAACCAUUUGCUCUGCGAUCAGUUGACAUGUAUAUAGAUGUUCUCGAAUAUUGCUUGUCUGAUUUUCAGCAAACAGAGUCAUCCAGCUCAGCCAGAGAUAAUGAUUCCGCUACUGCCUGUGCUUUUUCUCGAGAAACUGAUAUCCACAGAAUCACUUCUUCUCAGCAUGGGUAUAAUAUUCAAGGAUCCACUACUCGGGGAGAAGCCAGUUCUGGAGAUGCAUUGGAAAUGGUGACAAGUUUAGGGAAGGCUUUAUUUGAUUUUGGUCGGGGUGUUGUUGAAGAUAUUGGUAGAUCAGGAGCACCUGGGGCUUACAGUAAUGCUAUGACUUCCAUUCAUCAAAAUAGGGACCCGAAGUUCAUAUUGAUUGCUUCAGAACUCAAAGGCUUACCAUUUCCGACUGGAACUGGCCAUUUAAAAAAAUUGGGCUUUACUGAACUUUGGAUUGGGAAUAAAGAGCAACAGUCGUUAAUGCUUCCCUUGGGAGAAAAAUUUAUUCAUCCUAAAGUAAUAGACAGGCCUCUCUUAGGUGGUAUUUUUUCUAAUUUUUCACUUCAGUCACUACUGAAAAUGCGGGGCUUCUCCCUUAAUCUACUGGCCAAUCAUAUGAAACUAAUUUUCCAUGAAGAUUGGGUGAACCAUGUAAUGGGAUCAAAUAUGGCUCCAUGGCUUUCUUGGGAGAAAAUACCUAGUUCUGGAAGUCAAGGGGGUCCUUCUCCUGAAUGGCUAAGAAUAUUUUGGAAAUGUUUUAAGGGCUCACAACAAGAAUUAAACCUUUUCUCUGAUUGGCCCCUAAUUCCUGCAUUUCUUGGUAGGCCAGUCUUGUGCCGUGUAAGAGAGCGGCAUAUGAUAUUCGUUCCUCCUCUUUUGGAGCACUCAAAUUCAACAAGUGGUAUUUCGGAAAGAGAAUCUGCUGAAAGUUAUGUGAGUGGGGUUAGGGUGACAAGGGAUAAUACUUCUGAAACUGACUUAGUUAAGUCCUACAUUUCAGCUUUUGAAAGAUUCAAAACCAGUUAUCCCUGGUUGUUGCCAAUGUUAAACCAGUGUAACAUACCCAUAUUUGAUGAGGCAUUUAUUGAUUGUUCUGCUUCAAGCAAUUGUUUUUCUAUCUCUGGUCAAUCACUUGGCCAUGUCAUUGCAUCCAAACUUGUGGAAGCUAAGCUAGCUGGGUAUUUCACCGAACCAACUAAUCUCUCACCUUCAAAUUGCGAUGCACUUUUUUCACUUUUUUCUGAUGAAUUCUUCUCCAAUGACUUUCACUAUAACCCCGAAGAAAUUGAAGCUUUGCGUUCUCUCCCAAUAUAUAAAACAGUUGUUGGUUCUUAUACUAAGUUGCAAGGUCAAGAUCAGUGUAUUAUCCCUUCAAAUUCAUUUUUAAAACCAUAUGAUGAGCAUUGUCUUUCUUGUGCCACUGAUUCAAAUGAAAGUUCAUUUCUUCUAGCCCUCGGAGUGCUGGAGUUGCAUGAUCAACAGAUCUUAUUACGCUUUGGCUUGCCUGGCUUUGAGAGAAAAUCUCAGAAUGAGCAGGAGGAAAUAUUAAUACAUGUUUUUAAAAAUUGGCAUGAUCUUCAAUCAGAUCAAUUAGUGGUUGAAGCUUUGAAAGAAACUAAAUUUGUUAGAAAUUCGGAUGAGUUUUCAACAGACCUGUUGAAGCCCAUGGAUUUAUUUGAUCCUGGUGAUGCUAUCUUAAUAUCUAUAUUCUUUGGUGAGAGAAGAAAAUUUCCUGGAGAAAGGUUCAGUACAGAUGGGUGGCUUCGAAUACUAAGGAAACUUGGGCUUCGGACUGCUACAGAGGUAGAAGUAAUAAUUGAAUGUGCCAAAAGAGUUGAGUUUCUUGGAAUUGAGUGCAUGAAAUCAGGUGUUUUGGAUGAUUUUGAGACAGACAUAAUCAACAGUCAUUCUGAAGUUUCGCCAGAAGUGUGGGCAUUAGGAGGAUCUGUAGUUGAGUUUGUUUUUUCCAACUUUGCUCUUUUCUUUAGCAACAACUUCUGUGAUCUUCUUGGCAAGAUUGCCUGUGUUCCUGCUGAACUGGGGUUUCCGGGUGCUGGUUGCAAGAGGGUGCUUGCUUCAUAUAAUGAAGCUAUUUUGUCUAAAGAUUGGCCUCUGGCUUGGAGUUGUGCUCCCAUUCUAUCCAAACAACACACUGUUCCUCCAGAGUACUCAUGGGGACCUCUGCAUCUACGGAGUCCUCCUGCUUUUUGUACAGUUUUGAAGCACUUGCAAGUAAAAACAAUACUUUUGGUUUACAUUUUAUAUUUACAUUACUUACAUCCAUGUAUUUUAUGCUAGCUCUCUUUUUCCCUAGGUAAUUGGGAGAAAUGGAGGGGAAGAUACUCUUGCUCAUUGGCCCAUUGCUUCAGGAAUAAUGAACAUUGAGGAAUGUACCUGCGAGAUUUUGAAAUAUUUAGACAAAAUUUGGGGUUCACUUUCUUCCUCAGGUGCUUCACUAUUCUCAUGUUAUUCCAUUUGGGCUAAGGGUUGAGUAGAAAGGGUGUGGCUUAUAUAUUUUUGGUAUUUGUCUCUGAUUCUCCUGAAACGAUAGGUCUGUCAAUGCACCUAAGAUAUUAACACAAUUACUAGACAUGACCAACUGGCUAAUCACAUUUCUGUGAACCUCUAAUUCUUCUCUGUUAUGUUGAUUAAGCAGGUUUGCUUAGGUUGUUGUUACAUUGAAUUUCUAAUUACUUAUGCUAUUUCAGAUGUGGCAGAGCUACGUAAAGUGGCAUUUCUGCCCGUUGCAAAUGGAACACGCCUUGUGACGGCCGAUGCUCUUUUUGCUCGUUUGAUGAUUAAUUUGUCUCCAUUUGCUUUUGAGCUUCCUACUGUAUAUCUCCCAUUUGUAAAGACUCUUAAAGAUUUGGGACUCCAGGACAUGUUAACACUUUCUGCUGCAAAGGGUCUUCUAUUACAUCUUCAGAAAGCUUGUGGAUAUCAGCGACUAAAUCCCAAUGAGCUCCGUGCAGUGAUGGAAGUUUUGAAUUUCAUUUGCGAUCAAAUUGUCGAGGGGAACACAUUAGAUGGGUCAAACUGGAAAUCAGAAGCCAUAGUUCCGGAUGAUGGCUGCAGACUUGUUCAUUCAGGAUCCUGUGUCUAUGUUGAUUCUUAUGGUUCUCGAUAUGUCAAAUGUAUUGAUACUUCCAGAAUUAGAUUUGUCCAUGCAGAUCUUCCUGAGAGAGUAUGUAUCAUGCUCGGCAUCAAAAAAUUGUCUGACAUUGUCAUAGAGGUAGCAAGAUUUCAGGAGCAUUUUCCUAUUUAUUGUUAUCUAACUUUUGUCUGCAUUAGGCUUUUACUUACUGGAAUUUUUCUGUUUGGUUUACAGGAACUAGAUGAGAGUCACGCACUACAGACUUUGGGUUCUCUGGGGUCUGUUUUAUUGGUGACCCUCAAACAGAAGUUAUCAAGCAAGUCUCUUCAAACUGCUGUCUGGACCAUUAUUAAAAGCAUGGGCAGCUACAUUCCUGCAUUCAAUAGCUUUUCAUUGGAUACAAUAGAAGGCUUAUUGAACUCUACUGCACAAAAGAUGCAAUUUGUUAAGUGUCUUAAGACAAAAUUUCUGCUAUUGCCCAAUUUAGUAGAUGUUACACGUGCAGGCAAAGAUUUCACCAUCCCUGAGUGGAAGAAUGAUUCUGCUCGUCAAACUCUUUAUUUUUUGAACCAAUCAAGAUCCUGUAUUCUAGUUGCUGAACCACCCACUUAUAUUUCCCUUUUUGAUCUCAUUGCUAUUAUAGUCAGUCAGGUAUUAGGCUCUCCAAUCAUAUUGCCUGUUGGGCCCUUAUUUGGUUGUCCUGAAGGAUCUGAGAUUGCAGUUGUUAAUGUUUUAAAACUCUGCCCUGAUAAGAAAGAAGUUGAACCCAUAAAUGGGAGCAGCAAUAUGGUUGGCAAGGAAAUAUUGCCACAGGAUGCACGUCUUGUGCAGUUCCAUCCAUUGAGACCCUUUUAUUCUGGUGAAAUAGUAGCUUGGCGGUCUCAACAAGGUGAAAAGCUGAAAUAUGGUAGGGUUUGGGAAGAUGUAAGACCAUCUGCAGGUCAAGCUCUCUACAGAAUUAAAAUUGAAGUUGCGCAGGGGGAUACACAAUUUUUCCUUUCAUCACAAGUAUUUUCAUUUAAAAGUGUCUCAGCUAGCAGUCCUCUAAAGGAAACAAUUGUGCAUGAUAGCCCUUUAUUAAGUAGUAACAUGCCCAAUGUUGAUUUCCCAGAGAGCUCAGAAAGGGGAGAAAACUACUCUCAGGUUUAUCCCUUGGAACUUGUCCCUAAUUAUUAGUACCAUGUACCAUAAAUUUGCAUUUAUUACAUGCAUUGCAAUUCGUGACCCAUCAUCCUGUGCUUUCCAUUGACACAUGAAUAAUAUGUGUCUGCAAGAUAUUUUUGGACCUGUUAAGGUUGGGAUGAAACCAAAAGCUUGUAAUUAAGAAAAUUUUUCUUGUUUAGUUUGUGGCUAAGGCCACCGAAUAAAGAAGCAUCUAAUCCUUUUCAAUUACUAGAUAUUAUGCUCAAUGCAAAUUUCUUAACCGUUACAUAUCUUGUUACAUUUAAAAAAAAGCAUUCUGUCGGUUCAUUUUGUAUUGCUUGCAUGUCAAUUUUCUUAAAUGAAUGAGAAGUCUCUUCGUGUGAAUAGGUGCAGCCUGUAAGAGAGCAGUCUGGCAAGGUUUCAGCUGCAGAAUUGGUGCAGGCAGUCAAUGAAAUACUCUCUGCUGCUGGGAUCAAAAUGGAGGUGGAGAAGCAAUCUCUACUUCAAAGAACAAUAAAUUUGCAAGAAAAUCUAAGAGAGUCUCAGGCAGCUCUUGUGUUAGAGCAGGUUGGUGAUUUUAACUUUUAGUACUAUGAUUUCAUAGCGUCGUGUCAUACCAUUAUUAAUAUUUUUCUUUCUGAAUGGUAGUUUGCCAUGUGGGCAUUCUAAUUUCACAAUCAUUUGAAAACCUGUUUAUGGUUUGUUUGAGUGUGUCAUAUACAAACCCGUUGUUAGUUUUGACGCAUCAAACUUGAAAAUUUUGACAUCUUAAACAUAGGUUUCUUGUUGGAAAGUUGGAUAUCCAUUUACGAAAUAUGCCUCCUUAAACUAAUCUACCAACGAUUUUACUACAUAUAUAUUGACUCAGUCAGAUAUUACAAGGGAGAAAGCGUAUCGAUUUGUAAUGAAAAUUGUAUCUGUACUACAUUACAGUUGUAUAAGCUUUGGGCAAUAGUUUUAUUUUUGUACCGUAGGACACAGUAAAGAUUGAAUUAAAGCAAGUACCUUAAUGCUUUAUAAUGCAUAAGUUCAUCUGUCUUAUAAGUUUGAAAUAACAUGCUACAUCAUUAUACUUUGUACAGGAAAAGGUUGAAAAGGCAACAAAAGAAGCUGAUACAGCAAAAGCAGCAUGGAUAUGCAGGGUUUGUCUGAGUUCUGAGGUUGAUAUAACAAUAGUUCCUUGUGGUCAUGUAUUGUGUCGUAGAUGCUCUUCUGCAGUGUCCAGGUGUCCUUUUUGCCGGCUUCAGGUUACAAAAGCUAUCAGAAUUUUUCGUCCAUAAUUUCUCCAAUGCUCAGAGUUCCAUUCGCCAAUUAUUAGUGUUUGCAAAGAUAAAUCGGUUGCAUUGGACACUGACGUGAAUAUCAUCUUUUCUGAUUGAGCCCUAAAAUUGGGUAUUGUUGAUUUUUUCAUGUAUAUAUUGGCCGCAAUGAAAAAUGGUUUUGUCACUGUACCUUUCAAUAUUUUCACAUUUUUUUUACCACUAAAUCCCUCAAAUGAUUGGUGAAAAAGUAUUAAGGCUUUUUACCCACGCAUCUUCAUAAUUUCUUCCUCACAGUAAAAUAAAACAAAAAAUGACCUUUUAAAAUUCUAAAACUUCCCGAAAAUUUUUAGAAAUUUUUACGUGAAAUGUAAUAAAAUACUUACAGGGGAAUCUGGUUUUAGGGUUUCUCCCACUCAUAACAAUAAUAUUAAUAAUUUUACUAAUAAUAAUAAGAAUAAUAAUAGUAAUAAUUUUUUUAGUAAGAAUAAUAUUCAAUAAUAAUAAUAACAUUAAUAAUAAUAAUAAAAUAAUAAGAAUCAUCAUGGUAUAAUCACUAACUAAAUUGAGGUUGCAUAUUCUCUCAUCUAUUGAUGAUCGUUCAAAUCUUUUCUAUUGCAAAAUAUUAAUAUUGACUUUAAUAACUUUAAUAAUAACAAUAAUAUAUAAUAAAAGUUAAUAAAAUAUAUAAUAAUGAAUAAUAAUAAUAAUGUAAAUUUCUUAUUUGAAGAAAGCAACAAAAAGAUGUAACAGAAACAAAAAAUUAAAAAGGAAGAAGGCACAGAGAAGCACCACUGUCCACUAACUCACUCCUUCACACUCUUCUUCCCCCAACUCAACAAUCACCUCAGCGAUUACUCACACUUCUCCGCCAUCUCCAAAGUUUUCUUCCAGAGCUUCUCUCGCGUCUAGCACACGCGCACAGUCAAAGCCCCACGCACCGUCGCACGCCGUCGUCUCUCUCUGUCUCCUCCUCCUCUGGAUCCUAAUUUGACCUUUGGUAAUUAAUACUUUAAUUUUACCUCAUAUUUCUUGGUUAGCAGUGAAAUGACCUGCACGUGCACCACACGUGACCACUCUUUGCAUUAUUCACCACCACUGCAAGCAAAACAUCCACAUGGCUUUCAACCUCUUCUUCCUCUCCAGAUUCCGUCGUAUACACACGCAGACGGCGUCGUUUUCAAAGCCGAAGCUCGACGACGACGUCGUUGCGGCACUGUGUAAUUCCUUCAGAGAGCGACGCCACUGGGACUCCAUAACUCGCCAGUUCCGUUCCCUCCACUUAAACGACGCGUCGGUUCAACACCUUCUUCUGCAAUUCAAUUCCCCCUCCGACGCAAAACCAGCAUUGGGCUUCUUCCAUUGGGCCGCGUCUCGGCCCAACUCCACCUUCCAGCCCACCACUCGCUCCUACACAAUCACCAUCAACCUCUUAUUAAGAGCCAACUUACUCACCCACGCGCGCGCUCUUCUUCGCUCUCUCACCAAAACCAACACUCACUCACAUGCAGUUCCCGCACUCGUCGAUUCUCUUCUCGACGUCGUCGUUUCACCCUCUAGCGCCCUCGCCGUCAACCUUCUCAUCCAAGCCUACGCCAAAGCCAGGCUAACGGACAUCGCGUUUCACGUUUGCCGUUACGCGGAGGAGCGCGGAGUCUCCGCCACCGUCGUCAGUUUCAACGCCCUGCUUCACGCGGCUCAGAGGUCUGAGAAAUGUUUUCUCGUUUGGGAGGUUUACGAGUUCAUGAUCCGGAGAAGGAUUUACCCUAAUUCGACGAGUUUGCGGAUUAUGGUUGAUGCGUUGUGCAAGGAAGGUGAGUUGCAGGAGAUUGUCGAUACGCUGGAUCGAAUUAUGCGGAAGAGUACUUUCCGUUCUCCUUCUAUGAUCGUGAAUUGUAGUUUGAUGAUGAGGAUUUUGGAGAGGGGACGCGUGGCGGAAUCGGAGUGUGAUGUCGUGGUUUUGUUGAAGAGGCUGUUGCAGAAGAGUUUGCUUCACGAGACCGUUGUGUGGUCUCUUGUGUUGCAUACGAAGGUCGUGUUGGGGGAUUUGGAUUCCGCGUGGGGGGUGUAUAGGGAGAUGGUGGGGAGAGGGUUUGAGUCGAACGCGUUUGUUUACACGUCGUUUGUUGGAGCGUUUUGCAGAGAUGGGAGAGUCGAGGAGGCUAUUGGUUUGGUGCGUGAAAUGGAGGGGAAGGGGCUGAGGCCGUACGGUGAGACGUUUGAGCACGUUGUUGUUGCGGCGGAUUCGGAAGAGAGUGUGCGGGUUUUUGAUGAGAUGGUGAGGGUUGGGUUUGUGCCUAGUUGUGUGGUGUUUAAUAAGGUGGUGGAGAGGCUGUGUGAAAAGGGUGAAGUGCAGAAAGCGAAUGGAAUGUUGAGUGUGUUGAUGGAUAAAGGGUUUUUGCCGGAUGAUGUUACUUAUUCUCUUUUGAUGCAGGGUUAUGCAGGAAAGGAGGAGGUUCAGGAGGUUUUGAAGUUGUAUUAUGAAAUGGAGUACAAACGUAUGAGUCCUGGGUUGUCAGUUUUCGUGACGGUUGUUCGGUGUUUGUGUCACUGUGGAAAGGUUGAAGAUGCAGAGAGGUAUUUGAGGGUGAUGAGAGAACGGUUGGUGGCUGUGGAUGUGAGUGUGUAUGAGGAGUUGAUUGAUGGCUACAUCAAAAAGGGGAAUACUGCGAGGGCUCUUUACCUUCGCGAGGAAAUGGCUUCUUUGGAGUUGUAAUGUGGCAAUGUUAGGGUCUUUGGACACGUUGAGUAUGUGAUAGAAGAAGCAAUACUUAAAGCAUGCUUUUGGACAACUUGAUUGCCUACUGGGUCCGUAUUUGGUUUGGCUGAAGGAUCAGAGAUUGCAAUUGUUAAUGUUUUAAAACAUUGCUCUGAUAAGCAAGAAAUUGAGCCCAUAAACGGAUAUGGUUGCAAGGCGCACCUCUUGUGCAGUUCCAUCCAUUAUUCUGGUGAAAUAGUAGCUUGGAAGUCUCAAAAUUGAUCGGAACAUUCCUCCCAGUAUAUUGAGCAGACUCUCUGGUAUUGCGAUGUCCUCAAAAACCAAUGCCAUUUUUGUUGUAUUCACUAUUUUGCUCAGCUAUUCCCUGCAUUUAUGCCAUGUUUUAAAAAAAUGGGAUAUUUCUGUUAAGGUAAAUGUGUAGGCUUUUGUCUCAACAGAACGACUGUUAAUGUGGUUGAUGCUUCAUGUAAUUUUGUUUGCUUAUUCUAAGCAUUUGAGAAGCUUGUGUUAUUUCUUAUAAAAACCCUGUUUUAGAAUGCUUAUUUGAUGUUUGAAGCAUUUGUCCAAUAUCAUAAUAUUAAUAAAUGGAAGAUUUUGUGAUGUGUCAUCUUAGUGUUGUGCUGUGAUUGGAUGCUGAUGGUGCCUUUGAGGACCAAAUUAUCUUUCUGAAUGGUUGAUAUUUUAAUUGUUGCACUUCCUCGAUUGCAGGUUGUUGAUACCUGUGUGUUAUUGCGAAAACUCUCUGGGAAUAUUCUCUACACAUUUGAAGGUCAUUGAAGAAGCCAAAGUAUGGCACACUGACUAAUGUCGCACCCUAUCACCGUAGAGGUCCACGAGGAAGAUAAGUUAGAUGAUAUAAUUGCCCAUAACCUUAUCAAUCACUCAUCUAUGAAUAUAAACUUAAUCAAAUGUUGUUUUAUUAAAAUAUAUGCUUCUAUUAGAAUUUACAUAUUUAAUUAAUCAUUAUAUUUAAAAUUAAUUUCAUUUCUAUAACUUCAAUUUUAUAAAUAUGUAAAUUUUCACUUUAAAUAUUUUUGUUUUUGUUUUUCUUAAGAUGAACCAUUUGACCAAAAAGUUGCAUCUCAUUUUACAUAUAUCUCAUCUAGAAUUAUUUGGCGGCGUCAUGAGAUACGUGGAUUUAUUCAUUUUGACAAGUAUAGCUAUGUCCAAAAUGAAAAAGUAUUUAAUAAUUUAACAAAGUAUAGAUAAUUAUCUUUUAUAAAACUCAACAUAUUAUAAAUCAAAAUUCCAAAAUUCAAAAUUGUGGAUUAUAAAUGAUUAGAAAUUAAAAGCCUAAAGAAAAACAAAUUAGAGAUUCUUUAAAAUAUAACAUAAAGGAAAAUUAAAAGUAUACCCUGAUUUUUAAGUGUUAUAUAUAUAUAUAUAUAUAUAUAUAUAUAUAUAUAUAUAUAAAACAUAUAACUUUAUUUUGGGAAAAAUGGUUUUUAAAGAGCAGCCAAUUUUGUUGACUUAAUAGUUUAAUUCAUACGUAAAGGAUAGAUACUUUUAACAUAAUUAAAUAUAUCUUUAAGAUUACAUUUUGUUUAAGUUUCAAUGAAAGUUAUUUAUUUCAACUCAUAAAAUUAUAAAAAUAUAUACUUCCAAUUAUUACUAAUUGUAAGAUAACAUUAUUUUCUGAAAUAUAAGAUUAAAAAUGAAUAAAAAUUUCCUUGGAUAGGUAGGAAGAAAAAUGAAUAAAAAUUAAGAUCUUGUUAAUAAAUGCCUUUAGAAUAUUGGUUAAAUAAUUAAAAGGAAUUAAAAAAAAUGAUAGCAUAAUAAAAAAUUAAAAAAAGAUACAUUUUUACAUGUCAAAACUAUUCUUUUUCCUCUCUUAAUUAGUGUUUCAAUAGAUUUUUUUAGUAUUUGUAGGUUGACAAAUGUUCUAAUGAUACUGGUUAAGAAAAAUCAAAACCCCCAAAAUUUCUUUAUUCUUUCAAGAAGAAAUAUGCUUGCUCCCUUUAAUGCAUUGCCAACUUAUCACUUUAUGUUUAUUAUAAAAAGUUUUCUUUUUUCUAAACACUAUUAGUACCCUCUUGUCUAAAUAAUACAUACUUAAAUCUACAAAAUAUCACUUUUUAUAAAAUUAUUGAAUAAUAAAAAACAAAUAAUUUAAUUACAAAAACACUGACUUACUGAAUAUUUAAAGUACCAAAAAUGGACCAAUUAAAAGUGGUAAACACCUACCCAAAGAGAAGUCAUACUUUGAUAGCAGCCUCAUGCACGUGCCUUUUCAUCCCACCAACCGACUAAUUAUAUUAAAUUUGGCACAAAAAUAAUUUUAAUAUGCCCUUUUACCUUUUUUAGCUUUUAGUUAAAUUAAAUAUAAGAAUAAAGUUCAUAUUUUAAUUAGCUGUUAAUAUUUUUAAAAUAUUUUUUUAACAAGUUAGAGCCUUACUUUUAUGUUAUAUUAACAUAAUAAAACAGUUUUAUGAAAUUUGAUUUUGAACUUAUAUUCCAAUAAUGAAGAUCAUGACGUGGCUAUAUAAACAUGACAAAACUAAACAAAGCACACAACAACUAAACACUUGUGAAAAUGAGUUCUAACUCCAAAGACAGUGAAGUUUCCUUAGAAGUAGAAAAGUUGGAUGAUUCAUACCGUUCUGCUGUGUUGCUUUGUUUCAGCAAUGUUCUUCCUGCAGUUCUAAACGCUGCCAUAGACAUGAAUUUGUUUGAUGUCAUAGCAAAGGCAAAGAGUUCUUGUGAUGAUCAUUCAAGUUUCUCUGCCUCUGAAAUCGCCUCUUUGCUUCCAAAUCAGCACCCACAAUUGGCUAAUAGGCUUCAAAGAAUGCUGCCAUUGUUGGUCAGUUACUCUCUUCUGCAUUGCUCCAUUCGCACCAAUGAAGAUGGUAAGAAAGAAAGAGUUUAUGCUCUCUCACCAGUUGGAGAAUACUUUGCUUAUGAUGAUGAAGGAAUCUCUAUGGCUCCACUCUCAACCUUACUUCAUCGUGGAUUUCAUGACCUUUGGUAAUUACUACUUUCAUUUUACCUCAAAUUUCUUGGUUUAGUUUUGAUUUAAUCUCUAAAUUGAUGAAAAUCCAACAAUUGAGUUGUGUUGUUUAAGGAUUCGUUUUACAUUAGAAUUAUUCUAUGCUCAAUUUGAUAUUAAGAUACAAAGUUCACAUGCUAGUUUGUCAUUAAGUGGUGCACCAUGAAGUACUUAUCUGUGUAACUAAGUUCUGCUAUAAAAAAUAUGUGCAUAAGAUUUAAAGAAGAGUGUUGAGCUAAAGGAAAACAAUGAAACAAGAAGAAAUGAGUAAUUAAGUUAAUCCUUUUCUGAGUGGUAGAAGUCAUGGACUUUAAUAUGCUUCUUAUGUCAUUUGUGCUCUUAUUAGGAAGGAUGCAAAAGGUGCAUUUAUGGACCCAAAUUGCAGUAAUCAUUUCGAAAGUGUCUAUGGAAUGCCAUCAUAUCAAUAUAUGGAGAAAGAUACAGAGUUGAAUGAAAUGUUUUUCAAAGCAAUGGCUCAUGCUGGUCCAAUAGAAGUGAAAAAGGUACUCAAAGUAUACAAAGGAUUUGAGGGGUUGUCUACUCUGGUUGAUGUAGGAGGUGGAGUAGGGCAGACCUUGAAACUCAUUCUCUCUGCAUACCCUUCAAUUAAAGGAGUUAACUUUGAUUUGCCUCAGACAAUUCAAGAUGCACCUCCUCAUCCAGGUACAUAUAUGCUAUUCUAUUCUAUGUGAUAUAGAGAUUUAUAUAAUUAUAAAUUACAUAUAAAGAUUUAUGUGCACGUUUCAGUUUUUUUUAAUAGAAAAAUGUUUCACAUGAUUUGUUUAAAAUGAUUUGUUCCUUAUUUUUUAUAAUCAUAUUAAAAAUUUAUAUAAUAAGUUUAAAAUUUUAGAGAAUUAAUGUAUUUCUUCUUUUUUAAAUUGUGUUAGAACCAUGUUAGAAUUGUCAGAAAUUCAACAUAUAUAUUUU
rnacentral:lncRNA from 1 species